rnacentral:lncRNA from 1 species
UUUUUUUUUUUUUUUGUUCUUGUCUCUUAAUAAAUACUAUUGAGAAAUGUAUUAUUGAUCUUUAGUUGUCUGAAUGGUUAAUUGUGAUCAACCGCAAGAGCUAAAAUAGUUCAUAUAGUACUAGACCUCACAGCUGGACUAGACGUCUCAAAAUAAUCAUAGCCUAUCACUUGAGAGUACCCCUAUUAAUAUCUUUAGUAAGAUUGAAAAUACUCUCAGAAAUUGAAUUGAUUAUUGUUAUCUUCUCCGAUCUAUACAAUCAAAUGUAUUUAUAUAAGUGUUGUAUGAGUUAUUACUACUAACAAUUUAGUAACUGCAUACAAUUUGUAUAAUAGACUAACAGAGAACUACUUACGCUUCUAACAGUCAGAUAUUUAAAUAAUAAUUUUUAACGCAUUAUUUUCAAGAAACUAUUACAAAUCGUCUUAUCUUCUCAAGUAAAUUUCUUUUCUUGGAUCCGCAAAUUGCCUUCCAACACAAUCAUCCUUCGUCAUAUAAAAAAACUUAAUCUUUUUUCACUUUCCAUUUGUCCAAUACCUUUUUUAUAGAACAAUAAUUAGAUUGAAAUUUCGAGAUAACGUAGCUAAACAGGUGAGCAAUAGAUUUCAUUUAUUUAAUAAAACCACAUGGCUAGUGUAGUAUUCUCGAUGGAAGAUCAUAAAGGUAAUGAAAUAGUUUCAAUUUUGGUGGUAGCAGGUAUAUUAUAGUUUAUUUCAUAUCAAUAGUUAACGAUGAUAUUUUAUAAUAUGAGAUUUCGAUUUUUCAACAUCUUUUAUAUAAUUAUUUUUUAAAAUGAUACAUAAGUUAAUUUGAGAAAAUAAUUUUUUUUCAUCAUGAAUAUCAUAAAAGAAAUUAGUGUAUAAUUUGAAGUUUUCGGAAGAAAUUUUUUUUUUAAGUUUUUCAAUUAAAUUUAAGAUUUUGUAAUUAAAUUCAGGAUUCAAUGGUAUUAACUACACUCGUUCAGUAUCUAGCUAAGUAAAUCUCUUUUCUCUUGCUAGAUAUAUUCCUAUGCUCGAUAAGUUGGUGGGCGAAGUCACAAUUAUCAAACCUACUAAGUUGAUUAGGAUAUCAAGUAUAUUACUAUCCUAGCUAAAAAUCAAUUCGUUUUUCGGCGCUACUAAAAUUAAUCUUAAUUUAUUUAGUUAAGAUCUCAACCUUAAUUUCUCUUAUAAACUAACAGAGAACUAACAGAGUGCCUUUCUUACACUCCUACAAUCCCUUUGUCACCAACGUGGAUUUAUAUCGAGCUAUUGAAUCAUCAGGGCUCCUUUUGAUAUUGAACAACCAUUUAUAACCAAUAGGCUUUCUCCUUAGGGGAAACACUUACUGAGACCAAGUACCAUUCUUGAGAAGGGCAUCUAAUUCCUCCUUCACAGCAUCCUGCCAAGAUGGAUGCUUCAUCGCAUCGUGCACAUUCACAGGAUCAACUUCCUCGUGUGCAACAACCAUAUAGACCUUGGUCUUAAAAACACCAGCCUUGACUCUUGUAAACAUAAGAUGUUGAUUGUUAUAAUCACCAACUCUUGUAAACAUUUUGAAGGUUAUGCAAAAUAAUGAAUGGUUAAUGAAAAAUUACGAAAGUUGUCCCACUUUGUUUUACUCAAUUGAAAAAGUGAAGAGAAUUAUACAUAGUAAUUUUAAUAAUAGAAGAAACCAUGGUCAUGAUCACGGCUACCAUACGUAAUAAUUACUAUUAUCAUGGAGUUAACAAUUAUUUUAAUCAAGACCAAUAAUUGUGAAAAGACAGAGAAAAGUAAUCUAACUCAUCUUUCAACCAUCGUUAAAUUUUUGCUAUUAUUAAGCAUACAGUACCUUAGUAUCUUAUAAAGUUUGAUGAGGAAAUGUUCAAUUUCCAUUUGUCCAAUACCAUUUUUAGAGAACAAUAAAUAGAUUGAAAUUUUGAGAUAAUUUACUUAAAAGAGGUAUCCAUUAUUUUUAAUGGAAUGCAAUUAAAUUUUAUUAUUAACUAUAUGCAUAAUAAUAGAAUAAGCUUCGAAAAUACAAAAAUGUCAUACAAGCCUUUAUUUUAUUUUAUUGAUUCCAUCAUUUUCCAUUAAAACCGAUCAUAUGGUUCAAUUAAAAGAAGACCUACGAUAUGGAUCUCUAGAGUAGUAGAUUUCAUUAAUUUAAUCAAAACUAAAUAUGUGAUGACAAGUGGCUGAUAACAUUGCAAGAUAAAUUUGUCAUUUUGGAAGUAUUCAAAUUGAUUUUUGAUUUCGUAUUUAAAUAAAUUUUGAUUAAAUUUUUUUGUUAGAAAUCGACUUGAUUAAGUAAUGAACAAGUAAAAAAAAUAGAAGAAGAAAUUAAGAAAUUAAACACACUAAUUUAACGUGAAAAAACUCCUCCAAAGAGGAUAAAAAACCACCGACAAAGAUAAUUUUACUAUAAUGGCAAAAAAACCGAAAAGUACAAAAGAUGGAGAUAAAAACUAAACCCAGAAAACCCGAAAAUAAAGAACCCUCAAAACAUAAACACAAAAUUCUCUAAAUUUGUUAUGAGUUCUAAUAUCUAAUAGGUAUAGUUUCUAAGGUUGUAAAAGAGCCUAUUUAUAGGCUAAAUUCAUAUGUCAAAUAAUAAUAAAAUAAUCUAAACUAACCAGUGUUUGAUUGAAACAAAUAAACAGAUUUUAACUAGAAGAUUAUUUAUCAAAUUUAACUGAAAUAGGAGUCAUACUUAACAAAUCUCCACCUUGACUCAUAUUUCUACAACGCCAUCUUUACCAAAGCUCGCCACGAGCCUAUCUUGAACUAUGAUGGGAAUUAACUGAGUCGAAUCUGUGCUUAGAAACUGGAAGACUUCUAGCCUUCGACUUGUACACUGCAAAAUCAAAACUAACCCGGGUCUGAUUUUCACGAACACAGUGCCCUAACUUUUCAAAACCUGCAUCCAAAAAAGAACCUCUCUUCAACGAAACGGUCAGACAUUUUUCUCUCCUAUGACCAAGUUGCCUCCGCUCCAAACGAGUUGACUUCGACUCUGUACUGGACGAGGGACGUCCGGUUUCACCAGUCACUGUAGAACCUUCCAGAAUAUAAAGACUGUCAGUUCUUUUACCUUUUAACAAAACGAGGACUCCAUGAGAUAUUUUAAUGCCGCUCGACUUGAUGUUGAUUCUGCAUCCUUUCAAGUCUAAAAUACUUGAGGAGAUGAGAUUCUUUCGUAAAUCAGGUACAUGCCUGAUAUCUGAGAGUGUCCUAAUCGUCCCAUCGUGUGUCCUAAUUUUAAUAGUACCAAUGCCAAUUACCUUACUAGACGAAUCGUUUCCCAUGCGCACAUCUCCACCUUCAUCCGAACUAUAUUUGGAGAACCAUUCUCUAUUGGGACACAUGUGGAAAGAACAUCCUGAAUCUAGGAUCCAGUUGGACGUGAGCUUGGAGUUAUCGCUCGUUGACACUAACAAGAAAUCAUCAUUGCUUUAAUCGGCCAAUGUAACACCCCUAACCAAUAUCCGUCGUUAGAUUAGGGUUAUGAGGCAUCACCAAACAAAACACAGUUCAAAUAAGACAUUUUUUACAAUUCAUUCGCACAGUAAUGUAAAAAAAAUUAAUAAACGAACUAUAAUACAAUAUCUAACCAUUUCAAUUACAUUUGCUAAUUCAAAACUUUCAAGCCAAGCCUUCAAAUAUCAAAACCAACUUGUACAUAAUUGAUAAUUACAAAAAUUCAAGCCAUGUGACCAUCGUUUCUAGGAUAUUCGAAUACUCAAUUUAUAAUCAAUCAUAUUUUAUUUUAUGUACCAAGCAUAUAUAUAUAUCGAGACACCUAUUUGAUUAUAUCCAUUUCAUAGCAAAUCAAUGAUCAUACCAUUUUAUAAAACUAAAUAUUUUCGCAUAUUACAUCUUUCCAACUUAUACCAUUAUCUAAAUAACACACGUAAUAUUUAAUAAACAUUAUACAUGCACCUAUUGAAAUACUUUAGUCAUAUCUCACAAUUCAAUAAUCAUUUACAAAUAAAAUGUUAAGUAAUUCUAUUCAUGACCAGUUAUAUUUUAACAUCAUCAAACCAUAUAAAUAACACCCUAAAACCAUAAACCAUUUCUAUGUUCAAUUACCAUAUCAUUUCAUUUUAAACAUUAUAUUUGUAUAUGCAUUUUACCAGAUUAAAUUUUUAACCAUUUUAGAAUAUAAAUGCCAAAUCAUAAAUAUCUAAUUUGCAAGCUAAUUAACAUAUCUAAUAUGUUAUCUUCAACCGCAAACAUGAUUCCCAUAUCUAAUUCGCAUGUGAAUUAUCAUACCUCUAAUUCAUAUAUAUACAACUAAUUAACACUUUCAAAUAUCAAUCAUCCAAAUUAACUUCCAUGUCAUUUAGAUCAUGUACAUUCUUUGUCAUUUAAAACCGAGCCUAACUAGUCAAACACCCUAGCCGAAUACUAGCUAAAUAUAUGCACUACUCAUAUUUAACCUUUAAUCAAAACACACCAUUUAUUUAAUUCAUUGCUAGACACAUAUAUAUACAUGCCAAAACCUAAUCAACCAAUCAUAACCACACACAACCAUCAAGCAAAAGCAUAAAUUUCAAGAUUUACAAAAUGAACAAGUCAUUUUUGAAUGGCUUAUUAUAUACAUGUCCAAAAUCAGACCAAAAUACAUAUUAGCCUAUACAUGCCAUAAGUUCGAAAUAAAACUUUUUAAAAAUACCGAAAGUAGACGACGUGUGAUUGACUUCGCUAACGAUCCCCGAACACGUAACGACCCCUAAAAUCUAUAAAUCAAUGACAAAUAAAAUACAAAGUAAGCUAACUUAGCUUAGUAAGCCUUUAACAAAUAUAUAUAUAUAAAUCAUAUAAUUUCAUAAGCAAUUUAUCAAAGCCGAAUAUACACAUAUAUAAACAUUACUAAUACAUUCAUUAAUCUCAAGUCAUUUUUGUCAUAGCCAUUUGCUUAAACACAAGCUCCCAAUCAUAAACCAAUAAUUAACAUAAGGCGUAAUAUACCUAUUAUAUAAACACAUAUACAUAUAAUAGCAAUGUGUAUCAUUUUUGUUAUAUAACCAACCAAAUUACUUACCUAAUUAUCAAAUAGGUAAUUAAAUUUCACAUACCUUAUCAUUAUAACUUAUUAAUCCCAUUCGAUACCACAUCGACAUAAAGCCUUCUAAUCACAAAUCCAGAUAUGAUACAUCGGCACGAAGCCUGCUAGGCAUAAAGCCUGAUCUGAUACACCAACAUAAAGCCUGCUAGGCAUAAAGCCUGAUAAAAUUUACCGGCAUAAAGCCUGCUAGGCACAGAGCCUGAAUAUCACUGAUAUAAAGUCGAUCUUACACAUAAUUCUUAUAUAGGAGAUCCUACUUAUUCUUUAAGAUUCAUUCUAAGCUUUUCAAACAUCGUAUCUUAGUAAAAUCGAACUCGUACCCAAAACUUGCAAGCAUCCAUACAAUUCGACUAUUAGUAGGAAAAAUUCGUAUAAUUAAAUUCACCAUAUAAAAUUCAUAUACAUUCUAAUUUAACGAAAUUUAUUUGCUAAUAGACUUACCUCGGACGAUGAAAAUUGAAACAGGACGAUUAAUCGACGACUUUGGUUUUUCAUCGAUCCAACUUUGAUUUCUUUGGUUCUUGAUCUAAAUGUAUUCAAAAUAAACUAAUUUAAAUAUAAUUGCAUUCAAUUUAGUCCAAAAACACAUAAAUGGAAAAUUACCAUUUUGCCCCUGACAUUUUACAAUUUUUACAAUUUAGUCCCUAGUGCAUAAAAUACAAAAUACACAAAAUUUGCACACACCAUGCUAGGGUCGAAUGUUCCUUGUCUUCAUACAAGUCCUCAUAUUACAUUUAUUUCACAUUUUAGUCCCUUCAAAUUUUAUUUUCACAAUUUAGCCCUAAUUACUCAAAUUCACCAAAAAUUCAAAGACAAAACAUAUUAAUCUAACACAUAUAUUUCAUAUUUCACUUACUAACAUCAUAAUAAUCAAACAUUAAUCAAUGGCACAUUUCAAAAGCAUCAAAAUUCACAAAAUUAAGACACAGGUUUUGAAGUAUUCGAAGCAACGAUCUCAAAAACAUAAAAAUCAUCAAAAACUGAGCUAGAACUCACCUUGAAUCAAACUAAUCAAUGGCCAAAUACCUAGCUUUGUUUCUUUGUUUUCUUUAGUUUAGUUUCGGUUAAGAAAGAUGGAGAAAUAUGGAGUUUAAUUUGAUAUAAUGUUACAUAUAUUGUCAUAAUUAUUAGUAUACUUAUUUAACCUUUGUUUCUAAAUUUUUAAACCUUAUAAUACAAGGUUAUUUUGACCAAUACUACCCACUAACUAUAUUUUGGUUCUAUUGCAUCAUAAAUCCCCUAUUUUAUAAAGACAACAACAAUUAGGUACUUUUAGAUUUAACCCUUAAAUUUUUAUUUUACGCGAUUAAGCCAUUUUCUUUAAUCGGUCACUCAAAAAAAAAACAAAAAUUAAAACACGAAAAUUUCACACAAACAAAUUAACACAUGAUAAACUCAAAAAAUAAUAUUAAAAUAUUUUUCAAACUCGAAUUUGUGGUCCUGAAAUCACUAUUCCGAUUAGGAUUGAAAUCGGGCUGUUACAGCCAAAUUAGCAUCAGCUACAUCUUCCUCAUUGCUCUUAGUAGCUCUUUUAUUUCACAGUUUAUAACAAUCUGCUUUGACGUGACCUAACUUUUUACAAUAGCGACACCUUUUGUCUUGUUUCUUUGAUGCUAUCAAAACGGAAGCUUGCCUAUCUGCUUGCUAUCCAAAUGAAGCUUAUUGUCGAGUUUGUUUUUACUCAACAAAUAACCCUUCACAUCUUCGAACGAGAGUUUGUCUCUGCCAUAAAUCAGGUUCUCUCUGAAAGACUUGUAUGAAGGGGGUAAAGAGCACAAUAAUAGCAUAGCUUGAUCUUCAUCAUCAAUAUGAACCUCAAUGUUCUUUAAAUUAUUUAAAAGAGUAAUGAAUUGAUUGAUGUGAUCUCUAAGAAGCUCACCUUCGUUCAUGCAAAACAUAAAUAGAUGUUGUUUUAACACUAAAUGGUUAGCCAGAGACUUAGUUGCACAAAGAGUUUCUAACAUUUUCCAUAAGGUAGAUGAGGUCUUCUCCAUCAAUACCUCCUGCAAUACCAUAUUCGCGAGGCACAACUGGAUUGCAGACAAAGUCUUUUCAUCAAACUCUUCCCAUUCUAUUUUAUUUAGAUUCGCAGGCUUUUUCCCGGUAACAACCUUUUUCAAACUGGAUUGAACUAGAAUUGUCAUCAUCCGAACUUGCCACAGAUUGAAAUUUGUCUCACCACCGAACUUCUCAAUUUCAAACUUUGUUGCUGCCAUAUCUGAAUGGGUUGAUCUAUAAAAAUUGAACUAGCUCUGAUAUCACUUGUUAGAGAUCGACCCGAUUAAGCAAGGAACAAGUAAAAAAAUAGCAGAAGAAAUUGAGAAAUUGAACAUAAAAAUUUAAUGUGUAAAAACUCCUCCAAAGUGGAUAAAAAAUUACGGGCAAAGAUAAUUUUACUAUAGUGGCAAAAGAAACGAAGAGUACAAAAGAUGGAGAUAAAAACUAAACUCCAAAAACCCCAAAAUAAAGAACUCUCAAAAGGUAAACACAAAAUUCUCUAAAUGUGUUAUGAGUUCUAAUAUUUAAUAGGUGUAUUUUCUAAGGUUGUAAGAGAGCCUAUUUAUAGGCUAAAUUCAUAUGUCAAAUAUUAUUAAAAUAAUCUAAACUAAUCAGUGUUUGAUUGAAACAAAUAAAUAGAGUUUGACUAGAAGAUUAUUUUUCAAAUUUGACUGAAAUAGGAGUCAUACUUAUCACUUUUGUUUGAAUUAUAUUAUAGUUUGUUAGUUGAUUCCAUAGACAUCUAUGAUAUUUUAUAAUAUUUCAUAUGUCUAAUAUCCAACAAACAAUAGUAAUUAAUUGCUGGAUUGGUAAAUAAAAGUAGGAAGACGAUUAUCUAUUAAAUAUAGGUCUAAAAUCAAACAAAUAAUAGUAAUUGAUUGUGGGAUUGGUAAAUAAAAUUAGGAAGACGAGGAGAUAUUUGAACUUCCAAUGGAGUUGCUUUAGGGCUGGUCAAUCCUGGACCUUCACGCAUAUCAACUAUUUCGUUUGUUAGAGUUUCAAUCUCGAACCAAUGCAAUACAUUAGCUAGUGUAAGUUCCAGAAUCUUGAGCGCAAAUGAAACUCCAGGGCACAUUCUUCUACCACUGCUAAAUGGAAUAAGUUCAAAGUCAUUUCCCUUUACAUCAAUAUCUUUAUGGGUAGUCAUAAAUCUUUCUGGUUGAAAUUUUAAAGGAUCUUCCCAUAUUUGUGAAUCACGUUGUAUCUUUUGAAGAUUAAGAAUAAGCCAAGUGCCAGUUGAAAUAUCGUAUCCAUGAACUGAGCAAUCUUCAAUGGCUUCAUGGAUUACAGCGAGUGGAGCAGCAAGAUAGAGGCGUAGUGUUUCUUUAAUGACAGAUUGGAGGUACACCAAGUUUUUAGUAUCUGAUUCUGUAACUAAGAGUCUAUCUUUACCAACAUGAAUGUCUAAUUCUUGUUUGACCUUGUUCAAUGCAUCGCGAUUAUUGAGUAAUAAAGAUAAAGCCCAUGUCAUUGUAAUUGAUGUGGUAUCUUCCGCAGCUAAGAUAAGUGCCUAUUAAAUCAUUUACCGUAAAACUAUUAAUAUCAGAUUGAAAUUGGUAUUCAGGCGAAUGAUGAAUAUAAAUAUCAAACAAAUAUAGGAUUUGAUUAAGAAAUGUACGUACGAGACUGACGGCUUUGUUGAUGGUAUCGGCAUCGUGCUCCUCUGCAUCACGAAGAAUAGAUAGCAUCACUCCCAUGAAAUCUUCCUCACUGUUUGCCUCAUUUUCAGCUCUCUUUUCUUUGUGCUCUCGUAGCCAUUCCUCCACAACUUGGUCCAAUUCUUUGGCUACCUUCUUCAUAAGCUUUUUGUCGCCACCAAAGUCCAACCAUCUCAGAUACGGUAAGGCAUCCGAUACCACGAACUUUCCAGUUAGUUCAAACAAGUCGUCCAACGACUUCUUCCAUUUCACGGUUUCAUCUCCUUCGUAUGAAUUCGGUAUUCGCUUCCCUACAACAAUCCUUAGUAUCACGUUAAGAGUAACAUCUCUGAACCAUCUCUUCAUCUCCACAAUUACUUUGACACAGUUACUACUUUUCUUCUUGUUCCACAUCUGGUAUAAUUGUUGCAGUGAUGCCUUCACCUCGGAUUCCCGCACAGGUUUAAGCAAUUCGAGUCGGUGAUUUGAGAGGAGCUCAAUAGUGGCGAAUUUGCGCACUUGACGCCAAUAAGGUCCAUACGGUGCAAAGGCUAUCAUGGCAGAGUUGUAACCCAAAAUUUCCGAGCUUGCAAGCUUUGGACGAGUGGCAAACGCUUUAUCGUUUAUGGUGAGACAUUCUUUAGCUAUCUCCCAAUUGCUCACCACCAAAGCUCUAUGCACACCCAACCUGAUUGUGAAGAUUCCUCCAUAUUUGUUUGCCAGGUUACCCAAGCUUAUAUGAGGUGGUUGUGGCCCUCCUAAGAGGCGGAGAUGACCAAUAAUAGGCCAUGCUCCACCAGCUUCUGGUGCUGUUUUCUUCAAGUUUGUUUUUCUUCUUGAGAUCCAUAGGAAAGAGAAAAGAAACAGUAGUGGAAAAGUAAUGAUUGCAACAGUUGAUGUUACUGUGACUGAAUGAAAAUAAUCCAUUUCUGGAUUCUUACUUUAAUCUAAGAUCUAUACGCAAUAGCAGAGAUGAGAGAGUUGGAUUUAUAGGGUUAAUUUAAUGUCACCGCAGCGCAGGGGUAUCAUCAUUCACCAUUUAUUCAACCGAUAGCAUCCCUAUUUGCCUUUUAACUUAUGGUUCAGAAGGUAAUAAAUUCUCUCUAUGAAUUUUGGGUCUCGUUGUGGAAAACAGUGUAUUGACCUAGGAAAUUCAUAGAUCUAUAUGCGGGAGUUGGAUUUAUAGGGUUAAAUAAUGUCACAGCAUCGCCUAUCAUUAUUGACCACUCUUUCAACCGAUAGCAUUUUUUUUUUGUCUUUUAACAUAAGGUUGGAAAGAAAGAUAUAUAUAUAUAUUCUCUUUUCAUUUUGUCUCCCAUUGUUGAAAACUGAGUAUAUCGACUGCUAAAUAUUAUUGAGAAAUACAUAUUGAUCUUUAGUUAUCAAAAUGGCUAAUUGUGAUCAACCGCAAGAGCCAAAACAGUCCAUAUAGUAUUAGACCUUACAACUGGGCUAAACGUCUCAUAUUAAUCAUAGCCUAUCACUUUUGUCACCAACCUGGAUUUAUAUCAAGCUAUUGAUCCAUCGGGGUUCAUUCUGAUAUUAAAUAACCAUUUACAACCAAUAGGCUUUCUUCUUAGGGGAAAAACUUACAGAGACUAAGUACCAUUCUUGAGAAGGGCAUCUAAUUCCUCCUUCACAGCUUCCUGCCAAGAUGGAUGCUUCAUCGCCUCAUGCAUAUUCACAAGAUCAAUUUCCUCGUGUGCAACAACCAUAUAGACCUUGGUUUUAAAAACACUAGCCUUGGCUCUUGUAAACAUAAGAUGUUGAUUGUUAUAAUCGGAUGCACUAAAGAUUACAAGAUUCUAAAUUUGUGAGUAAAUAUAAUUAUGUAAUAUUCAAGAUAAGUUUUCAAUUAAAUUUUUGUGGAGAAAAAAUAGUUGAUAAUAAUAUAUUAGAAUUUUUAUUUUAACUUUUCCUGCAUCGAUGUAAUAUAUUCCUACAGUAACAAUAUCAUGAAAAAAAUUUUAAAAAAUACUCGGUGGUUAAAUCUCAUACAUUUUGGUAGUUGUACAAAAUAAUGAAUGGUAAAUAAAAAAUUAUAAAAGUUAUCCACUGGUUUGACUCCAUUGCAAAAGUGAAUAGAAUAAUACAUAGUAAUUUUAAUAAGAGAAGAAACCAUGGUCAUGAUCAGGGUUACCAUACCAUACGUAAUCAUUACUAUUAUCAUGGAGUUAACGAUUAUUUUAAUAGUGAAAGGAAAGAGAAAAGUAAUCUAACUCAUCUUUCAACAAUCGUUAAAUUUUUGCUGUAUAUUAUUAAUGUGGUAUGAAUAAGCAUACAGUUCCUUAGUAUCUUAUAAAGUUUGAUGAGGAAAUGUUCAAUUUCCAUUUGUCCAAUACCAUUUUUAUAGAACAAUAAAUAGAUUGAAAUUUGACACCUAAAUUAGGCUUUCAGUUCAAUUUGUUACCUAAACUUUUAUCUAAUUAGGUUUUUGAGCAAUUGAUUUUUUGGUUCAAAUUAGUACAUGAAUUUAGUUUCGUAGUUCAAACUGGUUCAAAUAAAUUAUUUACUGUAUGUACUAAUUUGGACCAUAAAACUUAGUGCAGAUACCAAUUUGAACCAAGAAACCUAGUUCAAGUGUCUAAUUAGACCAAAAUAAACUUUAAGUACCAAAUUAAACUUUAAAGACACAUUCACGUAUUUAAUUGGACAAAAAAAAACAUUAGGUACUAAUUUGAAACUUGAAACUAAGUUUAGAUACCAAAAUGUAGAUUUACCCAAAAAUAAAUAAGAUAGAUAAUGGUUUUUCCUUUUAUAUCAUUAUUGAGAGAGAUAGAUAACAAAAUGUACUAUUUAAGUGCCAUAUGCCAAUUUUAACCCAUGUUUCAAACAAGUUUUGGUAAUAGGAGAAAAAAAGUCAAAUUUGCUGACUUUUUAGGGGUUAAAAAUUAAUUUCAUUGAGCUGACUCAAUCUUGACUUAAUUGUCAUUAAUAUUUUUAUUAAUGCAAAAGAACAUAUGCUUGAGCGUGUUAAAACAUGUCAUUACAAAAUAACUCAUUUUUACUGGUAUUUAUAAGCGUCGGUAAAAGUAAGAAAAAGGCCUAUAAUAAUUUUACUGGCAUUUAUUUGACCGCCGGCUAAGCUCGUGCUAGUAAAAUUUUCCGGCGGGCUGGCCACAAGUGCCAGUAAAAUGCAAAACUUUUGUUGGCACAAAUUUUCCCAGCACUUUCAAAUCUAGUCGAAAGUAAAAUACUUUUUAAGACAAUUUAAGAUGCGAGUAAAAUUCAUAUUAAAAUUUUAAAAACUUUCAAAGAAUUUAUAAAUUUCGACAACUUGUGCUGUUCCGGCUCCUGUUAACGUCGCUAUUGCAUGCGCGUGACAUCCCUGAAAUCAACACAUCCCACAAAUCAACAUAUGUAUAUAAGAUUAAUUGCUUAAUACAGGUCAGAGAUUACGUUACUAACUUCAAAGCGGGAGAGACCAUUUCCAAAGAUGAAAUCCACUGAACCUUCAAUGUAACAAUAUUUAUAGUUCUCUCACCAUUAUAUAUAUAUAGUUAAGUAUUAUCAUGGUUCUUUCUCUAUUAUGUAUAUAUCAUCAUUGUUUACUUAUUCAACAAAAGUAUCUUUUAUCUUUUAUCGUUUAAUUAUGAUUCUCACUAUUAUAUAGUAUGCUCAUUCACUAUUCAUUCAAGGAAAGCUUAUCUCUCCUUUAUAUAUAUAUUUAAUCGAGCGGAAUUGCAUCACUUCUUAUUCACAUUACAUUUAACACCCUCUUAGUUUUAUUAAUUUAAUUUUACUUUCAUCCACUUAAUUUUAUUUUACAUUCUUCUAGCAUGUGUACUACGUACUAGGAAAUAAUGUGUGAAGAAAUAAAAUAUUUGAAAAGGUACAGUCUUUAUCAUUUUGAAAUAUUUGGUUCUAGAAUUUUUUUUAGAGAAACAAUCUUUAAUUGAUAUCUGAAAAUAAAAGGUAAAUAUAUAUUUUGGUACCUGAAUUCAAGGUUUAAAUUAGUAAUUAAGGUUUUUUUUUUUGGUACCUAAACUAGACUUUCAGGUUCAAUUUAGUACUUGAACUUUUUUUUAUCCAAUUAGGUGCCCUGAACAAUUGACUUUUUGGUUCAGCGUGAACUUUGUUUCAUAGUUCAAACUGGUUCGAAUAAAUUAUUUACUAUAUGUACCAAUUUGGAUCAUAAAACCAACUGCAGUUAUCAAUUUGAAUCAAGAAAUCAAGUUCAAGAAUCUAAUUAGACUAAACAAACUUUAAAGAUAAGUUCACAUAUUUAAUUGGAUAAAAAAACCUUGCAUAUGAUACAAUUACAUGACAAUUAUGGUACGAAAUUUAUUGAAUUCUACUCAUUUUAUUAUAAUAAAAUUAUAAUACCAAUUAGUUAGUGGUAUCGUAAACAAAAACAGGAAGGCGAGGAGUUAUAUGAACUUCUAAUGGAGUUGCUUUAGAAUUCGUUAACCCAAGNNNNNNNNNNNNNNNNNNNNNNNNNNNNNNNNNNNNNNNNNNNNNNNNNNNNNNNNNNNNNNNNNNNNNNNNNNNNNNNNNNNNNNNNNNNNNNNNNNNNNNNNNNNNNNNNNNNNNNNNNNNNNNNNNNNNNNNNNNNNNNNNNNNNNNNNNNNNNNNNNNNNNNNNNNNNNNNNNNNNNNNNNNNNNNNNNNNNNNNNNNNNNNNNNNNNNNNNNNNNNNNNNNNNNNNNNNNNNNNNNNNNNNNNNNNNNNNNNNNNNNNNNNNNNNNNNNNNNNNNNNNNNNNNNNNNNNNNNNNNNNNNNNNNNNNNNNNNNNNNNNNNNNNNNNNNNNNNNNNNNNNNNNNNNNNNNNNNNNNNNNNNNNNNNNNNNNNNNNNNNNNNNNNNNNNNNNNNNNNNNNNNNNNNNNNNNNNNNNNNNNNNNNNNNNNNNNNNNNNNNNNNNNNNNNNNNNNNNNNNNNNNNNNNNNNNNNNNNNNNNNNNNNNNNNNNNNNNNNNNUCAUCUCAACGGCAGCUAAACCCGAUUCACCAUCCUUUUCCUUAACCCAAAACUUGUAUAGAUCUUUUAUCGAACCUUCUAUUUCGGAUACAAAAACUUUUUUCAACUGAUCAAUCCUAUGGUUCGAUAACACCUCUAACAUUGUUAUCUUACGCAUUUCACGCCAAUACUGUCCAUAAGGAGAGAACCCAAACAUGGCAUAAUUGUAUCCCAUGUGUUCCGCUGCUGCCAUUUUGGACCGUGAUGAAACGGCCAUGUCGUUGGUGGUGAAUAUUUCCUUAGCUACUUCUCGUGAACUCACCACCAAGGCCGGAUGAACACCUAACCGGAUCAUGAAGGCCGGUCCAAGUUUAUCAGCCAAGGCUCCCAACGUUACAUGAGCGGCCACAGGUUUCCCUAGCAACGGGAGGUGACCGAUUAUUGGCCAUGCACCACCUGCUUCCGGUGCAGCUUUGCCAUUGGAUCUUUUGAGCUUAGUGUAGAAAAACAAUGUUGUGAUGGCAAUCAACACAAGAUAGUAACUAAGAUAUGGGAUAUUGAAAAGUUCCAUUAUGCAAAGGUUUAAUUUGGUUAAGUAUAUAGAGAACUUGUGUGUGAUGGGAAAGUUUGGGUUUUUGCAUGUAUAUAUAUAGCUUGGUGGGUCUAACAAGACCAACAUAUAGUUGGGAGAAUAUUAUAGGUUUUAUUUUAUAUUUUAUUUCAAGCUGCUUAGCCAAAGUUGAAUGAAUUUUUCGUGUGCCGAUAUUGAAUAUUUUUGUGCAUGCAUGCAUGAUGUAGGUUGAAAUUAAUAGUAGGAAUAUUAAAAAUAUUAAAAUAUAUAUUGAAUUUGAUGUCACUGAUCUCAAUUUCAUAAUGAUAAAAAUACUCAUGUUAUAAGUAUGCUAUAAUGUGAUUAAAAAUAAAUUUAAUUAUUUUAAUAUAAUUCACUAACAAUAUAUAAACUUAUAACUCUAAAUAAAAAUGCUAAAUUAAAUUCCAUAUUCAUCUAUCCCUUCACAAGUGUUAAAUUACUAAAUGAACUAUGUUUAUGUGAAGUGUCUUUGACAUCUUGAUUGGUAGUCAAUUGGUCAUACAUGGUGGCUUGAAUUUUGUUUUAAUCUUCACUGUCAUUCUUAAAUUAGUAUACAAAAUAAACCAAAAAACCAUGGUUUCAUUUUUAUUUAAAUGAAAAACCCACAGUUUUAAGAAGAAGAAAGAAAAAGGUUAAAUAACACUAUUUAUCCUUGAUUUAAUUUUUUGAACAAAACAAGUCAAGUCUUUUGUUACAAAUAAAAAUAUUAAGUCAAUGCCGCAUGGGUAAAUCUAAAACACUUGAUUCAUACGUUUAAGAAUAUUAUAUAUUAUCCAAAUUAAGUCUUAGUUCAGCGGUAUUGUUGUCAAUUUGAGAAGACGUAAAUUUAAACACGUUGAAGCGCAUUUCUUCUCCUAUUUAAGAGUUAAAAAGGAUUAUUAGUAGUUCUAAAUAUUGUAUGAAAAAAUCAUCUAAAAUUAAUGUAACACGAAUCCUUUAAUACUCCACGUAUAAUUCAAUUCCCAUAUACAAUUUAAGUCAAUUUAAGUCAUCAACUUGUACACAGGAUUCAAAAAUAUGUAAUAAUUUCGUUUUUUCAAGUUGUGUAGUGACACUAUCAACAAUUUUAGUUUGAAAGUAGAAGAUAAGAGCACAUAGAUAUAUUAAUUAACUAUUAAUUUUGAUAAAAUUAGUAUAAAUAUAUCCUACAUUAAAAAUAAUGUAAAAGUGUAAUAUUUUAUUAUUUGCAAUUGAAUCAACCUAAAGAAAUAGACAUUGAAUUUCUUUUAAAACAGUCCACAGCAAGCAUUUUUGAACGAAGAGUGGUUGGUAAACAAGUUGAAGAGAAAACUGCGGAUGAUUUUCUCAGGAUAUAUGAAACGCCCACCGUUUCAAGUUACAGUCGGUACAACGUGCUUGGUAAUAGGAAGAAGGCUUUUUUUUUUUUUCUUUUAAUAUAAUUAUUGGGGUUUGUUGAUUUUGCCGACUACAUAUUCGUUCAGUUGCAACUGGAUUAAAUUACUAUUAGUUUUUAAAAUUGAGAUGAACAUCAUAAAUUGUUCACAUAAUUUGAAAUUUUCUUAGGCAUUAUUCAAAGAGUAAUGGUUAAAUUUUGUUAUUAAUCUUUGUACUUUGUGGAAGUUGUGGAUUUAGCUCUUAUAUUUUAAUUUGAUCAGUUUUAGUCUCUGUGCUUUUUGUAUUGGUCAAUCUUAGUUCUUGCGUUUUUCGAAUUUUGAAAUUUUAGUCUUCACCCAAAUAGUAGGAAUUAAAUUUGUUUGAUAAAAUUCAAUUACUAGUCUUGUACUAUGCGUACAGUUCUAACUUUAGUUCAUAUUUUCCAAUUGGAUCAUUCUAAGUCCCUAUACUUUUUGAAUUUUGAAAUUUCAAUCUUGAUGCAAAUGACAAUUGUUCAUCCAUUAACUGAAUUUUCAAUGAGUAAUCUUUGGAAAUAACAAGCUAACAUGGCAUUACACAUAUGAUAAUAUGUUUAUCGCAUCAGUUUUUGAAAAUAGCAUAUAACUUAAUUUAUUGAAUUUAACAAUUAUGAUUUAGUGAGGACUGAAGUUUUAAAUUUUGAAAAGUUUAAAGAUUAAAACUAAUCAAAUUAAAGUACAAGAACUAAAUUCACAACUUUUGCAAAUUACAGGGAUAAAUAGUAGAAUUUAACCACGAGAAAUCCACUAUAAAAUCGACAAGCACAAACAUUUAUUUAAGUUCAACUCCAUCAUCAAGUUUCAACCUCACUUUUAUAUUUUGAACUAGAUCAUUCUCUCUCUAAGUCUUUUUCCCUUAAAAGCUUAGAUGUAAGUUGACAAACAAUACAGUUUACAUCCACAAUUUGGCACUACAAACCAAUUCUUCUGCGAACAAGUCGUCUAUUAAUAAGCAUUUCUAAACUAAACAAGCUAUCUAUUAAUAAAUAUAAAUUGACUUGUUUGAAAUGCAAUCAAUAUGAAUAUCUCCUCCAAUAAAUCAUUCAUUAAAAGUUUAGAUAAUGUUGAUCAAAACAUGUCAAUCAAAUAAGUCAAGUUACAAUAACAUGCUAGAUAUUUCUUAAGUUGCAACUAACGUUGCAUCUGACAAUUGCAAUUGGCACUAGCAAUCUCCUAUUGGAAAAAGUGUUUAGAAAUUUUACUAAAACCAACUUUUAUCGUGAUAUCUACUGUAAUAAAUCUAAUAAAACUAAGUAUUUGUGCCCCGAGGUUGGGGAGAUGAUGAAAUUGCAAGGGCUUCUAAGAAGGUACUCAAAUUUGUCAAUAGACUCAAACUAGAGUCUAAAUCAUUCAAGGUUUCAAUCAAAUGAUCAUUUCUAUUAUUCUCGAAACCUUAGAUGUUUUGAGAAUGGGCUUUAACUCAAAAAACCGAACACAAGAUGAAAUCCCAAAACUUUCCAAGGGAUGCCAACUUUCACUAUAUGUAGGGAUUCAAGACUGAAAACCAACUUAUAAAUUUAAAUUAUAAUCUUUAGAUGAUUGCAAUUAUAAUCUCACAAAUCUAAAAACAAAGCUCAAGAAAAAUAUAAUUUAUUUGAGCUUAAAGAAAAGUAACUCAAAUAAUUUCUUUCAGUAAAUUUCGACAAUGUACCAUAUAAUAUUUUUAGAGGAAAUAUUGCAAGAGUUUUACUUUAACUCGGAGCACAUAAAAUAAUUAUUUAAUAAGAAUUUAAGUCCUAGUAGUACUCUUAGGCCUAGAAGUUAGUAACAUUAAGGAAUUUUACUCCCUAUGUGUCAGUGGCACCCUACCCUAUGCCUAAGUCAAAUAAGAGACCAAAGAGGAUCUUAAGACUUUGCUUAGUAGACUGAAAAAGAAAUUGAAAAGAUGAAAAAUUGAAAAGAUAAAAAAAAAUAGAAAGAUGAAAAAUAUUUUUUUCUAUACCUGUACUUAGCAAAAAAGAUGAAAAAAAUGAAAAGAAAAAGUAAAUUUAUUUCUAUUCAUUGCUUGGUAGAGUUAAAAAAUUAAAAAUAAAAUUAAUACAUUUGAAAAAUACAUAUUUUUUAACUAACAUUCAGAUCUCUCUUAUUUUUUCUCCUCUCGUCAUUCCGCUUUAAAAAAAUUAAUUUUUAAUCAUGAUAAUAAAAAAUAAAUAUCUUUCGUAUUUUCUUUCCUCUCACUUUUCCUUUUCACGAAGCACACUUCUGUUAUUUCCACUUUUCACUUUUCUACUCCCUCCUCUCAUUUCUCAUUUCUUUCUACCUAACUAAACACACUCGCUUAGCCACUCCUUGCUCAUGACUGGUCAAGGCCGAUAUCCUUAGUUGGCAGAGUUGCUCGUGCUAUUCGUUUGUUGCCCCUACCAUCUUAUCCUAGCCAAGUACUAUUGUCAGUUCUUAAUGGAAAACCCAGUAAUUGCCCAUUGCGCCAUUACUAUCUACUUAUGAAGAUUCUUUUCUCUUGGGCUGGAAAACAUAUCUGGGCUUCAUAUCUUUAGUAACAAUCUAUAGAGAGAGAGAGACUUGUUCAUAUCAACAAUCCAUUACAUUAAGAUAUUGGCGGCAGGGGGAAAUGACUCGGAAGUUUGAAUGCCACAACAAGACUAACUUCAAUUUGGCUUUUCAAUUUGUCUGGAAACAGUAAGAGAUUAAGACAAAAAUGAAAAGGAUAAAAAACAGAAGAGAUUAAGUCAAGAAAAGAAGCUUCAAAGAAAGAAAUGGACCAUUGGCUACAAAAGUAAUUUGUCCAAAUUAAACAUUUGUUUUCAACGGAAUGAUAUAAUUGUAAUGAUAAAAACAGCCUAGAAAUUUCGUAGUGAGCUGCUAGAAGAAAACGUUUAUUCCAAAAUCAAGGCUAGUCAAAUUAUAGUUUAGAUUUUAAAUUGGUCGAGGGAUCGAUUUUUGCAAGAGAAGACUAAAAAAUAUUGUUUGUCAGUGAAAAUUUUAUCUCCCGUACUUUAUCGAAACCUAACAUACCGUAUAAAGUGUGAUAGUAAUUCUGUAAAUGACUUGACGGACCUAUAGGAUUCAAGGAAAAGACAUCAGUAUAAGGUGUGAUAGUAAUUGUAUAAAUGAUUUGAUCUACGCAUGAGAAGACUCAAACCACCACCACUGGAAUGAAAUUAUUCAUGCUUUUUAUAGCUUUUGUCUGUAAAAACGUAACGCUGUCUUCUACACACAGUUUCCACGCAACAGACAACCAUGCAAUCAUUGUCGACGUAAAACAAGGACCAGUUCCCAAUUUCCAACACCAUUUCUUUUUAUCUUUUGGACCCCCCAUUUUUCAAACAGUGUCGAAUAGGCCCAUAAUAAUGUUUGAUUUUUCAGCAUUGCAGUCCCCACCAUAGAUACUCAACACAGAAUCGAAAUUGGAUCUAACGGGCCUUUUUCUUUUAACCUUUGUAAAUGCAAAUUGUACAAAGUCAUGGAGGGAAAUAAAAUAUUGAAAGCGACCCUUCACCUUAUAUCGAAAGAAAAAACAGUACCAGAAGCUUUUCAAUUUCUUCAUUGCAGUGAUGAUGAAGAAAAAGGGCGUGGGCAAUUACACGACAACCAACAAAUGGGGAAAAUUUGUAGGUUUUGCUUUUUUUAUAGUCUGAGCGUGUUUCCUCCAUUUAUCACUCUUGUCAUAUAGUACAAGGUAUUUAGGUAAUAUUCUUUAUCUUUGCUUCGGGUUUAUAAUUAUCUCUUUAAAUAAUGUUAUUUUCAUGGAUUGAAUCUAAAUUCUCUCUUUUAAGAUUAAGAGUGUAAUGUAUUUAUAAUAUUAACAGGUAAAAGUAUUAUAAAAACUCUUGUACAUAUUAGGAGUCAGAUUAUAUUUUACCCCUUUACUCAAAAUAGGCAAAUCAAUCCCGGUUAUUCUGUUAAAAAUUGGCCAUUGUAUGUCAGGUAUAAAUGGAGUACCAGGUGUUACUAUCUAGUUAUUACAUAAGUUACACCAGUUUUUUACAAUACAAAUGGACGAAGUUCUUAACAACAAGACUAAUUUGCUUUUUUAUUUAAUAUACAAUGAUUAAUUUGUCUAUUUUUUAAAUAUAAAAAAAUAUAAUCUAACUCGUAAGACAAGAACCUCCAUGAUACUUUAACCAAUAUUAAAAUUAUCAUUAUCCCUUUGAUUUUAAGAAACCAUCCUUUCUUUUGUGUUUCAAAAGAUCUUUGAUUUGCCUUUUUAUUUGAAGACAUGAACAAGUUAAUUAAGCCCUCAAGUAUACUUGAGAGGAUACCUCAACCAAAUCAGCCUCAUCUCACCGACAUGUAUGUUUGUCUGUAUUAAGCUAGGAAUUGUGUAAAGUGGGUAUGAGAUAAAAUUUUAAAAAAGAUGAGGUGAAAUUAAAAAAUUUAUAUUAAAAUGAUUUAAUCAAGUGAGCAAGACACCUACUUAUGUCAUGGGGCUAGAACAAACUGCAGCCUGUGACAUUUGUAGUUAGAUUGGCAUGUUCUUUUAUUUCCCUGCAAAAUGCCAUUCAUAUAUAGCAUUUUGAUCUAUUAUUUCAAUUCUUUCAUGUUUCAAUAGUUGUAUAUUGUUCUGUAAAGCUAAGGUUCAAAAUAUGGAAAAAAUGAGUGUUUUUGCAACCCUAUCAUCCGAUCAAAUUCGUUUCACUUAAUCUCUAUUUCAUAGUCACAUAUCUUUCUAGAAAAGUAACGGAAAUUUUCCUCCUCUUAACCUUUUUGAUUUGAUUCAAUAGUCUUUCGUUAAAUAAAAACAAAUUUAAUAAAUACUAAUAACUGUCAUAUGGAUAAUGAUGAGAAAAUUCAACUAUUGAUUCUAAAAAGAAAUCCUGGUAAGUUGUCUAUGCGAAAUUAACGCUUAGAUUAGAGUUUUGAAAACUUUUAAUUGCUUCUCAUAUCAGUGAAAAAGUGCUGCAAGGGGUUGAAAUUUCAGGAAAUCGAAUCACGAUUUUAACAACAAAAAUUAAAAUGUUUUACUCAUUUAGCAUUGCUUUAGAUAGAAUACCUAGUUUCAACCUUGAAAAUUAGGGAUGAAUAUCAAAUUUAUAUAUGAACUUUAGUUUAAUCUGUAAUUUAAGACAUGAACUUUGAUUUAGUAUAAUUAUACACAUGAAACUUAAACUGUGGUUCAUAUGUAUACAUGAAACUUUGAUUUUGAUUCAAUUGUACACAUUUAAAAAAUAAAUAAAAAUAUUUAUUUUCAUAUUAGAUUAAUAUAAUUGUUUGUGUGCUGGUGCUAAUUCAAUAACGUCGUUAGUGAUGUGUAAAAAUUUAAUCAAUUUAAAAUUGCAUGUAUAAAAUCGCAUAAAAUUAAAGUUCGUGCAUAAAAUUACACAUUAUAUUGAAAUACGUGUAUAAUUUUUAUAUUUAUCUCUAAAAACUAUAAUAACAAUAAUACUAAACAAAGCCUAAAUCGGUCUGAAUUCAAACAACUAACAACCAGCCAAACUUGGUGGUCCCUUUAAGUUUCUUCUCUGCAUAUAUUGGCCCAGGGUAGUAAAUUUAAGAAACAAUUAAUCAUGAUGAUUCAUGACUAUUCUGGAAAAAAAAAUUGGGUCCUAAAUGAAUAUGAUCACACUUACUUUUGCAUGUGUUACUUUAAUUAAUACAUUGGAUGGUGAUAGAGCUAUUAUUACAAAAAUUCUUAAUGACCCCUCUGCAUGGAGCAUGGACCUGUCUCUUUAUCAAAUUUUGUACCUUCAAACACUUAUUCAUCAUAUAAUGGGUCAUAACCCACAAAAUCAGCUGCCCAAAAAAAUCUAAACCACAAACCCAAAGAAAAUUAAAAGAUAAUGUCAUUGAUAUUUUGACGGUGGUACAAUGCUUAAUAUUGCCUAUAAUUUCUUCUCAACUUUUAAAUAAAAGAAUAAAUGCACUCCAACAUGCUUUAAUUUACGUUUUUCUACACCGGCGAUAAUAUUAUUGUCAACUAAACUAAAACUCAGUAAGAUAUUAGUUAAAGAUAAAUGAUACGGUUCAAACCUUAACAUUUCUGUCCCCUUUCUCGAUAUUGUAAUGAUAAAAUAAUACAUGGAAACAAGAAUAAGAAAAAAAAAAAAAAGGGGGUUUCACCUUUUGUGUUGUUUUUCUUUUCAUUGCAUGACAAAAUUUAAAGAACAGGAACAAGGCUAGUUCAUAUUCAUACAAGUUAGAUAUUUCAUCCGCAAAAUGACGACAACAACAAAAAAAAAGCAAUAUAUUUAAUGGUUUUCUUUUGUUUUUAUUAUUAAAAACAUGUUUUUUUUUUAACACUUGAGAAGAGUUAAGUCAUUUGAAGAUUCAUGAGCAAAGCUUGGCCUUCCAAGGGUGAAUUCUAGGUUAAGCAACAUGUCUGGAUUUGACAAAUGAAGCACUUUAUUGUCUCCAUCCACCUAUGAAAGAAAAACACACAAAAUUAAUAUACAUUAUUAACACAAUGUUCCAUUUUUUUUCCUUUCAAUGAAGCAAUCAUACCUUAGCAUCAUUUGGGUGUAAAGUCAAUCCGUUCCCAUUGCUUGAUAUGCUCAAAUUAUUCACCUCCAUUGAUGGUAGCCAGGAACCACUACAAAACGAGGAAAUCCCUACUUAAUAAUAAGAAAUAUCAUUCUGUUAUCAAUUGAUUAUAUACAGAAUAGACUCUCUUUAUAACAGUCUCAUUUGUUCGUUAAAAUUUUGAAUGUUAUUAAGAGUUAGCCGUUAUAUACUUAUAAAAAUAUUUGAGGUUCAUAUCAUAUUUAUUUUAAAAAAUUCAACUUAAAAAACUAUUUAUAAUAAUAUUAAUCGGUGAAACUCAAAUCGUAUAUUUAAUAAAAUUUAAAAAUAUAAUUUCAUUUAGUAAAUAUAGGAUUUGAAUGUUUUUAUAUAAUUUUUAAACAGUUUAUUAAAAUAAUGUCUUAAUUAAAAUUUAUUAUUUUUAUUUCACUUAAAAUUUUAGAUAAAAUAUUAUAAAGAAUUAAUUUAGUAAAAAUUGUAGUCCAUAUUUUUUAUAUUAUUAUGGUUAUUAUUAUACAAAACUCAUUGUUUAGGGUACUUCUCGUAAAAUGUAACAAAAGAAUGGCAUUGAGAAUUGAACAAAAAAGCCUUGACUUUGAUUAUGAGGAUUAAUACAUUAAUUCCACAUCUAAGCUUAAUUAAUUACCUCAUCUUCAUCAAAAUCUAUGUAAACUUAGCCUUAUCUACACACCAUAAACAAUGAACAGACAACAAGUUGGACCAAACACAGUUCUCCAUGGCCAAGGAUGUGUGUGUGUAUAUAUACACGUUAAGUUAAUAUGAUCCUCACCUUUGGGUCCUUUGUGGUGUCGGUUGUGGUGAUAUUAGUCUACCAUCCAAAUCAACAAUCCCUGACCUUUGAUUCAAUUUCAUGUCUGCUUGCAUUUGUCCUGAAAUGGUGAUGUUGGCAAAAAAAGAUUUCAUAUUUUAGAUUUUUUUAGGCUCAAGCUAUGUCAAAUAGUACCAAAUGAAAAAUGGAUCUGUAAUAAUUGUCUAUGGGGAAGACAAAAAGAAAAUAAUUGAAGAGAUAUAAAAAUGGUGGAAAAAAUUUCCAAUUACCUGAUCCUUUGUCAGUGCUCUUCACUGUUCUAUACAUCUGCAUGAAAAAACCAGAAAUAAAAAUUAACUCGACGUUUAUAUAGGUGGUGAAAGCUUAAUAUCUUAAAACCUUAAGCUUGCCAUCCUGGCCAAGGACUAAUGUGCAAAAGGAAAUUGCAUUGUUAAGAUUACCAUUUAGAUACCCUUUUGUCCUUUCCCUUUGUUUCUCCCUUACCCACUACAAUUGAAACAUAUAUAGAAAUACAAAAAUAGAACAAGAUAAAAGUGCUAAAACAACUCUCAAAUCAUAAAAAAUAACAAUUUUCAUAUAAUAUUAUCAUUUGACUCUUUAUUCAAUUAUUGCAAUAAUUAAGAAAAUAUGGAUUUAAAUGCAUAUCUCGGGGAUUUAUGGGCAAAAACAGGCAUUGUAUACAAAAAACUGAAGGAUUGCAGAGUUAAAGCCCACCUGCAAGUGACUCUUCACGUGAGCUAGGGUUAGAUCCUUAACAUUCAUCAACUCUAAGACAGAUUUUGGUGUUGCUCCUGUUUCAGUUGCCGAAAACAUGUAAGAAAAAGAAAACAAAACAAAAAUAGAUAUAUUGUAUAAAUGAAGUAUAUAUAUGUAAAUGUAUAGUACUUUCAUGGCCACCAAGAAGCUGGACUGCAUGAACAAAAUGAGCAUGAAGUGUUGUAGUCCAUCUCAUCCUAGGAGCUCUAAUACUUCUUUUGGCUCCAUUGAUAUUCGUUCUUGAACUUCUCUUGAAAUUACGACCAUAGAUUUGUGGCUGAUAUUGAUGAUUAUGAUGAUGCUGGUGAUGAUGAACCAUUUCAAACCCUAAGCUCAAAGUAGGCUCUAUAGGAUUAUUGAAGUACCCAUUUUCCUGGCUUAAAUCACUCCCACUGCUCCCAGAAUCAGCAUUUGAACUCCUAUCACUGUAAAUAGAUUUCAUCGACAACCCAUCAUCGGCCAUUUCUUUAACCGAUGGUGGGCUAAUCUGCAAAGAUAGAUCAGGCAAAGCUGUGGUUCUCAUCAUUGUGAACGGCUAAAAAAACCCAGAAACAAAAGGGAAAAAGUGGAUUGAUUAGAUCAUGAGUGGCUUAUGAUUAGUUUGCAUGAGUGGUGCUUGGUUAUACAAGAGAAUAUAGGCUUUUUUAUUAGGAUCUACACUAGGGCUGAUAAAAAAAAAGGAUUGCAGGAAAAGAGAGAUUGAUUUUUUAUGGGGAUGAUAGUUUUGAAGAGAAAAGGUUAGUAAAAAAGGGAAACUUAUGCAUUUAAAGGAUGCAGAGAAAAAAGAUCAGAGCCCUUUUGAAUGGAGAAAGAUAUAUAUACAAUAUAUAUAUGUAUAAUAAUGGUGGUUUUUAUACUUAUGCUAUUGCCAGAGGGAUGGUUGGAAUUCAGAAAAAAAUAAAUAGAGGUCAAUAUUCAAUUUUUAAUGGGAAAAUGUAUUUUUGGUCACUCUCUUUACUCUUUCUUUUUGGGGUCUAAUUGUUUUUUAGUCCUUGUACUUUUUGGACAUUUAAAGUUUAAUUUUUCUAAUUUGCAUUUCCACUAUUUAGAUAAUUUGUUGUUUUGAUUUAAUAAUUGAAAUCUAACAGAUAAUCGCGUCAAAUAAAUUUUGUUAAAUUGAAUUGUGUGACCUUUUUAAAAUGAAAAUUUUACUCACACGGUGAUGAAUUUUCAAUCUAUAUUCAAAUUUUGGAUCUUAAAACAUCAUAUUCAAAUUGAGAUUUAAGCAUUGUAUUUAAAAAGAUAAAAAUUAAAUUUUCUUCCUUUUACAAUUUAAGAAUUCUAAUCCAAUCAUUAACGGCAAUAGUAUUUUUCGUUACGAUUUGCCAGGUUGACUAGAAUUAUUGCAUCUCAUAUGAAUGUUGCUUAAUCGACAUGUCAAUUUGAUAAACUUUAAUGAAAAUGUACUAAUAAUGUUAAUAAUUGGAUUAGGAUUUUAAAAUAAAAAUAAUAAUAAGAGGACUUCCACACAUGUAAUAUUAGUCACGUCAAUAAUUAUUUUUUAAAUAUCGCAUAAUCCAAGUUAACAUAAGUCCUUUUACGGCGUUAUCAAUUGGAUUUCAAUUAUGAAUCAAAAGAGUGUAAAGAUUACAAUUCUAAGAUCAAAAAUAAUUGGACUAAAAAUUUUAAAUAUGCAAAAAUUUUAAGGAUCAAGAACAAAAUUAAACCCCUUUUAUCUCUCCUUUUCAAUGGAAUAUUUGCAAUACAUUUUUUUAUUAUUAAAUCAAAAACAUGAUAAUGGCUGCAUUUAUUUAGUCUUAUUUUUUCCCAUGCACACGUGGCUUAAUUUAUUCUUUGAAAAGGUUAUUGCUGCCUAACACAUGAUGUUUAUGCUUAAGCUGCUAUGAUGUUGAUAUUUAAUAAAGUCACAAACUUAAUUAAUCAAACUCAUAACCAUAAUCAUUAAUUAAUCCCCCUUCUAUAUAUACCAAAACAUACUUAACCUUCUUUAUUAUAUUUACGACACAUCUACGGUGCGGUGAAAAAAAUAUGUAAUAUAUAUUAUAAUUGAGCGAGCGAAGUCAGAAAUUCUUUUUUAGGAUGAUGGGAGCUAAAAUUCAAUAUCAUCAUUGUGCUAUAUAUUUUACAGUUUCAGAAGGAAUAAAUUGAAAUUUUAUUAUUUCGAGGGGGGAAGUUGUAAAAUUUAAGGGUCUAAAACAUAAUAUAUUUUUUAAUUUUGGGGGCCCUUGCCUCUGUUUAUACUUAGAUUAAACUCCUGGCUAAAUUGGUGUCACAAGUCAAUCAGAUGCUAAUUUAGUUUAAAAAUUACUAAGAGGUCUCUUUAUGUACAAAAUAAGUUAUAUUAUUAUGAUAAUAUUUUUGCUAUUUUCACAUUUUUAUAAAUCAAUAAAAACUCAAUCACAAUCAAAUUUGAGCUCAUGAGUUAUGACACAAUGAAUUUUAUACAUUUAAUUUCGUAAAGCGUCUUUUGAUUAAAAAAAAUUUACUCACAUGCGAGCAUGCCAUAAUCUAAAGAUCAAAUAAAUUUUUAGUUAAAAUGUUGAAGUUAAAUGUUUAAAAUUCAUUAUAUUGCCGGGUCAAAUCUUAUUGUGAUUGAGUUAUUAUUGUAUUUAAAAGGAUAUUAUAGUAACUUAUCAACUACAUUAGUUUCCGCUUAACUCGUGACACUAACUCAAUCAAAAAUUUAAUAUAAGGAGAGAUAGAUACGAAUGCAGCAUGUCUAUGGAUUGAGCUACAUUCUCAAUUAUAUUUAUGAAUUUAGUACUUUAAUAUAUUCAAAAUGAUAAAAAAAAAAAACACACAUUCAAAUUCUCGGAUAUUUGAACCAAACACGACCAUUGACGCCCUUUUUGUAUUUGAUAUUUGAUCACCCCAUCCCAUUGCUAUCCCUAACCAUCGAUUCGGCACGUAUGGCAAAAACUCAAAUUGCCCAAUGAGCGUUGAGCUGUACACGUGGGAAGAAGUCGCCUAGUGUGGGACUAUAACUAUUUAAGAGAAGAGCAAUGUCGACAGAUUGGCCGGAACGUCCGGUGAGACCAGGGCUGCCAGUCCACAUCCACAUGCAACUAUUUGUUAAUUGCCUUAUGACCCUAUUUUCUUUAGUUUAUUUCCACUUUAAUCCUCUAACCAACAAGCUCAAACCAUAUAAUUAAAUCGAGUUAAUCUAAAUUCUAUCAAAUUGAGUUUUAAUUUUUUUUAAUCAUUUCAAGUUUUUUAUCAAUUUCAAGUUCGAAUCAUUUUUUUAUCCAGGUUAAUCUUAUUUACUAAACAAAUUUAACCAAUUAAACCAUUUCGAUUUUAUCGUUUAAAAUUUAAAUUCGAGUUUAGGCUACUCCAAUUUAUUGGGACAUAUUUCACAAAAUUAAUGUUUGAAGAAAAAUGCCAACAAAAAUAUCAAGAUGUGCCCCAUGGUCAAUGCUACAUUAAUUGAUUUGACUCAUUUAUCAACCUCAUAUUUAUAUCCAAACAUAAUUAUUUUCUAGUAUUAAAGCAUAAAUAGUACUUAUUAUUCUAACUAAUUUUGGAAUGAACAUUGAAAAUACAUAAAAUUGUAGUAUAAAAUGCAUUGAUUUCUGAAAAAUUUGUACAUAAUAAAACCAAAAAAGGGAAAUAGAAAGAGAGAGAUAUAACUUGUACAUUAUUGACAAUUUAGUACCUUAUAUGCAUUGAAUUAUAUGGUAGGCCAUAUAAAGUUUUCCACACAGAGUCAUUAAAUUUGAUAUUAUUUUUUUAAAAAUUCGAAAAUUAAAUUUUGAAUUCAGUAAAAUAAAUUGGGGAUAUUAUUGGAUAAAAAUAAUUAAACCCUUACAAAUUUUAAAUGUAAAUAUGGUUGUACAUGAAAAAAAUGGCUUAAAUUCAACAUUGGCGCUCAAAUUAUAUCACUUUUUUCACUUAGGUAUCUGAAGUUUUUUUUUCAAAAGUAGCAAGCUCGAGCUCAACUCAAAAUUCGGGGCUGGAUACUCAACUCAAACUUAAUCGAACAUCAAUUGCUCAACUUAAGCUUAGCUUGAGGUCAAUUAAACUUAUUUAUCAAUUUUCGUACUCAAACUCAAGUAAGCUCAUUCGUAUUCAUGCUCGAGCUUGUUCAUACUUAAGCUCUUUCUAUAUGAUAAGAGUAAGAACGUGUUAAAAUGAAAACCUCGAUUAGGCUCAUGAGCCAAUCAAAUUAAGUAUCAUAGUGCUCGAAUUUGGCUCGACCGAUAGCUCAAGCUACUUGAUUCAAGCUCGACUCGAUAAUUACUAAGUCAAAUUUGAGUCUUUUUUUUUUCAAGUCAAACUCAAAUAACUUGUAAGCACCAAUGUCUCAUUUACAACCCUAAGCUAAACCAUCAAUUUUACCCCAAAUCACGAUACCAAUCAAUGAGAAUGUAAUGUAUGUUGUACACUUUUGGGUAAAAUGAGACAAAAUUGAUACCGCUUUUGACUAAAAAACUUUAGAGAUUGUGUGACCCGAAUCUCGUCAUUUGUUGAAGAAAUAAAUACAGUGGCAAAAUAAGGGAAUUUGUGGGGGCGAAAGGCCGAGGGUUAUACAGCACAAGUUGAAUCUGCAUAGAACUAUUCUUCUUCUAUUUGACUUUGAUUAGAACAUAAUUUUUCAACUCUUAAGUAGAUGUAGUUAAAAUUCCUCUUGUAUCAUUCGUUUUUUAACAUUAAAGAAAUUCUCUUCCUUUACUCGUGAUUUUUUUCCGAAAGAGUUUCUACAUAAAAUCUGUGUGUUCUUAUUUUUCCUUUUUUUAUUGUUUUUCGAUCGUUCUACCGCCACUAUCGACAUUUAUUAUAACAAAAACUUUAAAUACCUAACUGAGAAAAGAAAAACAAAAUAGUUUAAGGGCCAAUUUUAGAAUUAACCAAAUAAAAAGAUAGAUGGAAGGCGCGUUGAGAGCACGUGAAGGGAAAGUUAAAGAUUAAAAUAAAAAGGGGUAGUGUUUGUCUAAUGAGUAAUCUUGGCUGAUGCCCCAAUAUUCCCUCUCCGUGUCCAAAUAUUCCUGUUUUUAAUUUUGCAUUAAUUAAUUAAUUAAUUAAAUAUGCUGUCGAGCCCCACCCGCGCGUGGAAAUCCACAAUCAUAAAUUCAUAUUCCCUAAAAAUUAAAACAUAUUCCUCGGCGUCAACAUGGCUCUUAUCAUGGUCUUAACCUCUUCUUUUGGUCAAAUUCAAGUUUUGGUCCCUUUUACUAUAUUCAAAUCUUGAUUUACUCUCUGUAAUUUAGUAAAAGGGACCAAAACUUGAAAUAUGGCUCUUAUUAUAUGCAAUUCCAGUGCAAUAAAAAAAAUACUCCACAAGCAGAUAGUGUUUGGCACGAAAAUUCAUACAUUUUAAUCAAAAUAGUUAACUAUUCGGACUAAUUAAUUAAUGAUAUUAUAAAACUAAAAUGAUCAAAUUAUUUAAAAUGAAACUACAAGGACUAAACAUCAAAUGUAAACAUCAUAUAGGGAUCAAAACUGUAAUUUGACCCCUUCUUUUGUUCUCUUUCUCUAGUUCUUUUAUUUCUUCAAUUCCCCCGUUUUAUAUGCUGAUUUUUCCCUUUAAUUUAUUCUCAGUUCUCCAACUCCAAUGACCUCCCUUCCUUAUUCUAUAAUCCCAUUUGUUUUUAAUUAAAGAAAUUCAUCCAUAAUUUUCAAAUUUAGUCCCUAUAAAUUUAUUUUUAGGAAUUUAGCUAUUCUAUUUUUUAAAAUUCAAAAUCGAGGUCUAACUAUUAAUAUUGUUAAAAUUAUUUCCUUAAAUUCACGUUUAUUACAACGUCAUUUUUAUACUUACACUGCCCCAAAGUGAAUAUAUUUUUUUUCAUUUUAAAAUGUCACACCAACAAAUUUAACAAUGUUAACAAUUGGAUUUAAAUUUUAAAAUAUAAAAAAUAAAGGGACUAAAUUCCUAAAAGUAAAAGUAUAAGGAAUAAAUUCUAAAUUCGUGAAGAGUACAAGAUGUAUCUCAUAUUUUAACCAUUAUAAAAAAAUAAAUAAGUAGAUUUGUUUGAAAUGCUUAAAAUCAUAUAUAAUAAAAGUUUUGGAAGCCAUGCAGGGUCAGCGGCUGAUGCGCUGUAGAUUCUUUGGGAAAUGAAAAAAUUAAUCUUUUUUUUCUUUUUCUUUGGUUGCUUGUGUUGGGUUUUAUUUAAAAUUUAAGAAUGUAAUUAAAUUCCUUUUUUAUUUGUCCUUUUAUUUAUUUAUUUCUAUCUAUCAUAGCGAGUCCGACAAUUAAUUUUUCGUAUUCUGUAAACUCAUUAACAAGUAAUCACGAGUUUUAAAGCUAUAUCAUACCCAAUGUGAAGAUCAAACUCUCGACCACUAAUUAAUAUAGAAGAGACCCUCACCAUCUCACUUAACUACUGUCAUCUUUUAUUAUUCGUAUUGAUGUAAGGGUUUUUUAUAUUUUGGAUUAAUGAAUUCAUAGGGUUUGCAUUUUUGCAGUGAGGUUAAUUAAUAUCCGGUCAACAUGUCUCUCUAUGGCUCAAUUGCUUGGGUUUUAUUCCAUAUUCCAUGUGUUUGUCUUAUAAGAACAAUUUCCUAUAACUUCAUGUAGUUUUUCGAUAUAAUUUUUUUGGUACAAGUAAUUUGAAAUUUUUUGUAUUAGGUGUGAUUGUAUUUUACUUCUUUUAUAUAAAAAAAAAUAGCAAAUAUUAUUUCUGUACACUAAAUUAAAAAGUAAAUUGAUAAUUUCCAUUAAAAAUUUUAUUCAUUUCUACUGUUAAAAACAUGCGUAACUAACAAAAUAGUUAAGUUAUACAUGACAUGCUAUGUGUAACCCAUUCUAAUAUAUGAGGACUAUUUUUUAACAGUAGAAAUGGAUAAUAUUUUUAACAUGAAGAUUAAUUUACUCUUUGAUCUAAUGUAUAAAGAAUAAUUUACCUAUUUUUUGAAUAAAAUGCAAUUCGACUCCUAGAAAAUAGCCUCCAGGUACUUUUACUCUCUUUUUAAAAAAAAAAAACCCAUUAUCAACAAAGUCUUGAUUUAAUGGUAAAGUUAAGGUUUUGAGAAUUUUGAAUUUUUGAGUUUAAACAUCGCUAUAUAUAUACACUAUGUGUUCUUAAUUCAAAUUUUAUAUAUCCAGAUUUAUUGGUCUAGAUCCAAAUAUUAUUAUGAUUAUCAAUCCGAUUGUUUUGAAUAUGUAACAUUUAUACUUGCAACCUUUAAUUAUACUUAUAACUUAAAAUAAUAAUAAUAAAUAGAAGUUGGAACAUAAUGUACACAACUUAUUGUGUUUUACAAAUGUUAUUUGAAUCAGAUCAGAUUGAAAAUUAACUAAUAAAUUUAUUUAAAUAUAAGGGUUGAAUUGACCUUCUCGGAACCAGUAAAAAAUUAGAUAUCAGGACGAAAAACUAACGAUUGAAAAAUUUUCAUAAUUUUUUUAUUAUUUAUUUAAUUAUCAUUAGACCGACGAUUAAACUAAUUGAAUAAAAAAUUACUGAUUUGAUUGAUUCAACUAUCAAUCCGAUUAAAAAACAUUAGUGUUUUAUGGGUGUUUUUUCUUAUAGGAAAACAACUACGCCAUUUAAAUUGAUCUCAUUUAGUAAUAGUGUUUAUUUUUUAUUUAUGGAUGAUCACCUCCUUCAGUUGAUAGCUGUAAUUUAAAUGAUAUAUAUAUAUAUAUAUAUAUAAAUGUAUUUUAGUGGUGUGAUGUUUGCCCACUUAACAAGCAAGAACAAACAUGUUAAUUACUUUUGCUAAUUACUAAAGUCAUCUACUGGUAAAUGCCUGUCCACAACACAAAUAAUAAUAAUAAUAAUAAUAACAAUAUUCAAUGACCUAGCUUUAUACCUAAUUAUAUGUUUAGGAUUUUCUAACCAAUAACACUAAAAGGUCAACUUAAUAUUCACACAAUGUACGAGUAAGGUUUUUUUUUUAAGUUAUAUCUUGUAAAAGUAUCAUGCGUGUUUUUAUGAGUAAAAUUAUAUUUUGUUUCUUUUACUUAAAAAAUAGUAAAUCAGUCCUUGUACGUUAGAAAUCGGUCCAUCCAUGUUAGCAUGAGUUGCAUAUGGCACACUAUGUGCCACUAUCUGGUUAUUCCGUCAGCCAUAUCAAUUUUUAACACUACAAAUAGAUGAGGAACAAAAUAUAAUCUGACUCCCAGUAUUGGAAUCUUCAUAAUACUUUUACCCGAUUAUGAUACAUUCAAUAAUUAGCUCAACAACUAAAUUGAAUAACUAACUAAAUAAUAAAGUAAUUAAAAAAACCCACAAAAUUUACAUAAAAUGAGACUCGAAAUUAUAACAACUCAACCUUGCUAUCACGAUUGAAUGAAAGUGUGAAUGGUAAUGUACGGGUAAGUUUUGGUUUCAUACAUACUUUGUCUUGAUUCUUGAAGGUUAAAAAGAAAAAGAUGUGUAUAUUCCUGGUGGAAGAAUAUUAGGUUGUACAUGGUGAUUCGUGAGUUAGUUUAUAGGGCAUGUGUUGCUUUGAGAUUUGCAUGUACAUAUAUAUAUAAUGGCCACUACCACCACCUUCUCCAACAGUGUUUAAUUAGAGAGAAUUUGGGGAAGAAAGUGGACAAAAGAGAAAGGAUGGAAUCACCGAAAUCAACGCCGUUUAGGCUGACGUGCUCCACGACAUUACAUCACAUGAAUUACUGUGAAUGCAUAAAUAAAACCCCUGGCGGGAGCUGGAUCCGGAUGGCUCCCUAUCCCACAUCGUUCCCGUUGGUUUCUGUAGAAUUUUCUUCUGUCUCAAUCUGCAAUAUUUGUUUAUUUUAUCAUCAAUGUAUUUUUUUUAUAUUUGUUUUACGGAUUUUGAAGGUUAAUAAUUUUCUUAAGUUCAUGGUUAUUUCAUUUCAUUAUUAUCACUUUUAAAAUUUGAAUUUAAGUCUUUUUUAUCACUAAAGACUUGAAUUAUCUAAUCUUAUUUUAUACAAUACCUAUAACUAUUCAUAAUCCCUCCCCAACUUAUAAAUGUGAGAGGAUAAUGUGUUUUAGUGUACUCAAAUCUACGUCAUUCUGCAUUAAUUAAGACUUAAUGACAAAGGAAAUUAAUAUUAGAUGGACGUAGGCAAUUUUUUUUUUCUUUGUCAAAGGGUUAGGUUUAAAAGGGGAGAGUUCCUAGGUAAACAUAAAAAAGAAAAUUGAGUUUUGAAAAUGACAACAAAACAUUAAUUACGUCAUUGUUAAUUAAAAUUAAUUGUAUUUACUAAAGAUAAAUUAAGUCAAACCCUACACAACACCUAACAGUAUAAUUCUUUUUUAGCUGUUGAGCUCAAAAUUGAAAACGAUUUCAGACCUUGAGACUUGAAAAAUCUUAUAUAUUAUAUUAUAUUUUGGGUAACCUGGAUCAUGUUCAUUGAAUUAUUAAACAGUUUAUGAUUUAGUUAUUUAACUUCAAAAAAUUACAAAAUAAUUUUUAAAUUAUUCAACAAUUUUCAUUUAAAUUAUAGGGCUGUUAAAAUUAUCACUUUAUGGCCUUCUUCGUUCUCACCUCUAGCACUAAUAGAAAGGGUAAACUUCCCCUCCUCUUUUAUAAUUUAUUUUUUUUAUGAAAUAGCUUUGAAUGUCACCAAUUUACAAAUAAAAAAUCCAAACAAUUUUCUACUCUGAUCUCUGGCACCGACCAUUAAAUCAGCUUGGAUUUGAGAUAUGUUCUUCUAUUCGUUGAUGAGUAUUGUUCCACCGUACCAAUUGACAAAUCGUCACUCGAAGCUCGCUGCCCGACCUUAAAAGAAAAGACUUAAUAGUCUAGUAACUUAAAUGAAAACAUACAAAUAGUUAGUGAUCAUUUUGUAACUUUUUAAAUUUUAAUGAUCAAAAUGUAAACUUACUAAAUAAUUUAGUGACCUUGAGUGUAAUUUACCCUUAUAUUUUUUAGGCUUAAUAUAACAUUGGUACCUGAACUUGACAAUUUUUCCUAAUUUGUUACCUAAACUUGAUAUUUUUUCUUAACUUGGUACUUAAUCUUUUUUGGGUCCAAUUUGGUACCUAAACUUGACUCUUUUUUCCUAAUUUUAUACCUAAUCUUUUUAUUUGUUUGAUUUGAUAUUUAAACUUGUCAAACAUUUUACAAAAUACUCAAAUAUGCUAACAAUGUUAUUUUUUUAUAAGGUAGCAAAAACAAUCAAUUUAUGACCGACAUGUGACAGAUGAUAUAAUAUUAAUAAUAAAAUGUUUUGAAACCAAAUUACAAAAAUGUCAAGUUUAAGUACCAAAUGGUAAAUUAAGCCUAUUAUUUUUAUGUAUUUUUAUAUAUAAAUAGAUUUGAAUAAUUAUGAUAUUGGUAUGUUACUAUCAUAGUGAGCUUACUAAUUGGUCCGUCAAAGUUGGUAGGGUGAUUAUUAAUAACUUCAAGAAAGCGAAAUACAGUAUUGACCAAACCAUAUGAUGCCAAAAGAAAAAUUAAAAUUUUUUCACAUUGGGAAUAAUUUUUAAUUUAAUUUAAUUUAGUACCUAAUCAACAAUAGAUUCCAUCAAAACAUCCCAAUAUUAAUUGAGUCAAGCUUUCAAAUGUGGAACUAAAAUACCCUUUCUAUUUUGGAUUCUAUUGACUUUAACUUGGAGUCCUUUUCAAUCUUUAUUCGAGUAAUUUUUAGUUUGAAUUUAGGGGGUUGAAAUUGAUAGGGAUUCAAGUAGGGAUGGUGCUAAGGAAGCAAGUGCCUUAGCCUCAGAAAUGGUGAAAUUUCAAUAUAAGUCCUUUAAAAAUUGUAAAAUUAUAAAUUAUUAAUAUGAUAAAAUUACAAUUUGAUCCAUCAAAAGUUAUAUAGUUGAGAUUUUUUCCUAAAAGAUUUCUGGCUUCAUCUUUUGGUUCAAGUUGGACAAAUUCGUAUGCAUGGACAAAUCCAUUUUUUUUCUUCAAGAGCCAGAAGUAAAUUAUAAAUGUUUGGGAGCCAAAAUAAAAUGUUACCAACUUACUAACUUAUAUUCUUACUAUUUCUAAAGGGGCUCUAAAGCAAUUAUACCAGUAAAAGUACCAUGGAAACCCUUGUACUAGGAGUUGGAUUGCAUUUUACCUCCUCUACUAAAAAACCAAGCAAAUUACCCCUUGUAUGUUAGAUCAAAAAGUAAAUUGGUUAUUCUGCUUCAAAAUUCAUCCAUUUCUAUUGUUAAAAAUCAUUCCAUAUACGCCAACAUGAGGUGCACCUGGCACGCCACGUGUAACUAUCUGGUUCUUCCAUCAACUAUGCCAAUUUUUAGCAGUAGAAAUGGAUAAAAUUUUUAACAAAAAGAAUGAAUUUACUCUUUGAUUUGAUGUAUAAGGGCUACUUUAUCAAUUUUUUAGUAAAUACGGCAAAAUGUAUAAAGAUCUCACCUUUUGAGUAAUUCCACUAUCAUUAAUCACGAAUACAACAAGUGAUUCACACUCAUCUCUCCUCCAAGUAUAGAGAUUUCACAUUUGAACUUAAAUGCUAGAACACUUACCUCCAAAUCCUCCCCCUGAGAACUUGGGUAGUAAACACUUAACAUUGUUUAUACUUAACAGUUUGCACUCUUUCACAAAAUAAUUCCUUAAUGAACAGAUUAGAAUGUACUCAAUAAGCUCUCAUACAAAACCUAUACAAGCCUUGAAGCAUAUAUCAUAUUUAACUUGCUAACAUAGAAUCUAUGUGAAUACAAACAUAACUCCUUGGAAAUAGUUAUUACAAUCUCAAAAAUCAAAGUACAAUCAAGCUACAAAAUCCUCAUCGAUCUUCCAUAUUCUAAUGGUAGAUUUGAUUCGCACGUAUCAAAUCCAAUCUCCAUAUACCAAGGAUUGGUUUUCCAUAGAUGGGCCAAAUAUCUCCAAUAAAACAACACACAAACAGGUCCAAAGAUUUUUUUUAUUAAAUUACCAAAUCAAAUAAAGCAAGUAUUUAACCAACUCAAUAGCGGUAUGUAGUUGACACUACCGAGUGCCACUCAACAACUCAGCACAUUCCUCAAUACACGAUGUAAGUGAAAACUCAUGUAAAAUUUAUGUAAGCAUCCAAUGAAGUUUUGAUUGAAAUGACAAAAUUGAAGCUUUGGGAAAAAUCCCAUCAUGUUAUUUUUAAACUUAUUCUAGGUUCAACAUUUUUUUUAUAGAUCUUAUAUUAAUGUAAAACCAAAAACAUAUAUACCCAUAUAUUUGUUACUCUUUUAUUAAAAAAAAUAAUUUUCUAAGUUGAUUUCUAGUUGAGUGGGUAAAAAAAUUCUCUUUUUAGCAAAAAAAACCGAGUUGAUGUGCGAUUAACUCGUGACAACAACUCAGUUAAUGGCAUAAUAAUAGUACAAAUAGAUAGAUAGAUAGUUGCAUCAUGGACUUUUCUUCAAAAGACAUCUUCUAGCUCAUCAUAAUGAAGUUUUAUUUAUUUAUUGAAAGGGUGUUUUUAAGAAGAAAAUCAUAUAAACAUUUUAACUUAUUAACUAUUUGGACUAAUGAAUGGUUUUUAUAAAAAGAAUAGAGGUAAAAUUAUAUCAAAGUAAAAUAUAGAUACUAAAUAUCAAAUUUAAGUAUAAAAGAAGGACCAAAUUAAGAAUUUGACCAAAACAAAACUACUCCAUAUGCUACUUAUUUUUGUUGCUUAAUGCAACAUUAUUUCCCUUUGUGAAAUAGGCAUCAGAAAAUGACAAAAAAAUAGUAAAUAAUAAAGAGUGUUGAAUUUUGAAUGAUCAAUUUUUCUUUUAUUAGUAAGUGGGAUCUGCUGCCGACCGCCAAUUGCGGCAUUUUAAAACAUCAGGCCAACCGGCCGGCCGACUGAGGCUUUCAUUUGGGACUUCAUUCAUUUCAUCGUUUUAUAUUUGUCGCUUUGGGAGGAAAAAAUCAAAUAUGAAAAUAAAUUGCUAAAAUCCAAUUAAACAGAUUAAAUCCAAAUGUAGCUUUGGAAGAAGAAGGGGGUGAUCAAGCACAAGCAUAUAUGGUUGAAAUUACAAUCUCAUUUCAAAUGUUUUGGACCAAAAUAUUAAAUUCUAAUAAUGACUUUCUGUGGUUAAAAAGAAAUUGGUAUGUUUAGAAUAUGUAUCGAGUUUGAUUUUCAGUAUUCAAAACUCAAAUCUGAUUUGAUUUAUGUUUCACGAUGUUAUAUUAUAUGUUGGUACAUUCAAAUUUCGUACAAUUUUUUUUAUAAUGUAAUGGGAAUUGGGUUAUUCAUAUUUGAUCUCUAAAUUUAAUGUAUUUUACUUCUAGAUCAAUAGUUUGAUUGAUUGUAUGAUAAUACAUGUAUAAUCGACUAAAAAUAAAAUUAACUUAAUAAAAAGCACAACGGACUGAAAAUUGAAAUAUAUCUAGAUCCAGACUAAAAUAAAUUUGGACUACACUUGUUCAUGAGUCAAGUUAUCUGUCCAAACUUGAAGGCCUACCUGAAAUAUGGAAGGUUUUAAGUAAAAAUAUGAGGCUCGAAAAAUAGAAUUGGGUAAAAUUUAAGACCCAUGUUUAUUUGGGUCAAGCCUUGGGCAUAAUUAUUAGGCUUGCCCCAGCCCGAGAUGUAAUAAUUAUAUAUAUUAUAUAUUUAUAAGAGCUAUCUCCAAACUUCAAAAUAUUCUAAUUACAUCCCAAACUAUCAAUGUUAUAUCAAUUAAGUCCUUUUUGUUAUUAAAACUGUUAAAUGACACAUCAAAUCCUAUAUAGCUAAAUUUCAAAUGAGAAAUUUAAAGAAAUGGAACGUUAUCACGUAACUUUUAAACGUAACAACUAAAAAUAAAGUAAAAUUGAAAAAAAAAUAUGAACAAUAAAGCUUCUGUAAAUGCUUCAAAAAUCUUAAAACAAAGAUUUCUAGAACAUCAAUUUUUACGGUAUUCAUUUUUUUCUUAAAUUUUUCAUUUUAAAUCAUUUCACAUAAUAUCGGUCAUGUCAUUUAACAAUUAAAUUAAUGAUUUUAGUGACAGAAUGACCUAAUUGAUUAACAUCAAUAGUUUAGGGAUGAAAUUAAAACAAUUUAAAAUUUAAAAACUAAUAUAAAAUUAUGGUUAUAAUCUAAGAAUGUUUGAUGAAAUUAACUCUAUUUAUAAAUAUGAUGCCAAUAAACCCAAACUCAAGUACACAACCCAAAGUCCAAAACUCAUUAAUCUUAAAACUUAAAUUUUCAAUCUAAUAAACAUAAUUUUAGUCAAUUAUGUAAUAUUAGAUAGAUUAUAUUAAGUUUUAUGUUUGAUUUUAGUAUAUUAGUUUAGAUUAUAUUGAAUGUUAAGUUCGAUUUAUUAUAAUUUUGUUAAAUUUUGUGUUAAUAUUAUUUUAAUUAAAUCAUUUAAUAAAGUAAAAAAAAUUAAAUAUUGGUGGGCUGAGUUUAGUUUGGGGGAAGAAAAUUAAUAUAAGUCUAACCCAAUUUGAUCCGCGUACAAAUCUAAUAUGGACAUAUCUCACAUAUUAUAAUACUUAAAUCCAAAAUAAUUUAGAGAAUCUACAUAUAAUAUUUAUGUAUGAUAAAAUUCAAAAUUUAAUCGUGUAGAUAUUGUUAAUCUUCAUUCAUUCAAUUUUAUUAAAUUAAAGAGUGAAAAAUAAUUUAAUUAAAGAACUUAUUUUAAAAAACUAAAAUAAAUUUUAGGAUACAUAAUCUCUUUUUUUUUAAUUAAAGUAUCUACCGGAACGAGCCCAGUAACUAAUUUUCCAUAUUAUAUAUUAGAAGCAUGUAAAUUUUAGAAAAUAACUUUUAGCUAACACAAUGGGUGCAAAAAGUUAAGGUAGAGUAUAUUAAAGUUAUUAAACUAUUGGUAAGUUUACGCUUUAGUCAUUCAAUUUUAAAAAGUUACAAAAAUGUUCACCAAGUUAUUCGAAAAUUUUCAUUUAAGUCAUCGAGUUGUUAAAAUCGCCAUUGUAUAGCCUUCUCCAUUCUCACUAUUGACACCAAUUGAAAGGGUAAACUUCACCUUCUCUUCUACAAUUUAGUUUUUUUGUUUCAUGAAACAACUUUGAACGUAACAAAUAUGCGAACCAAAAGCCAAAUAGCUUUCUUCUUCAAUCUUCAACACCGAUCAUCAGAUCGGCUUGGAUUUGUGAUAUGUUUUACUACUUGUCGAUGGGUACUGUUCCAUUGUACCGAUUGUCGAAUCGUCACUUGGAGCUUGCCAGCCAGACUUAACCAUCCAGUAACUUAACUGAAAACUUUUGAAUAGUUCAGUGACUAUUUUGUAACUUUUUGAAGUUGAGUGACCAAAAUGUAAAUACUAAUAAUUCAGUGACUUUAGAUGAAUUCACCUGAAAAAGUUAAAGCACACAUAAAAUUUGUAGUCCCAAAGGCCCAUUGCCCAUGAUAUACAAAUCGGUAUUUUCAGGGCUUAUUGAAGGCCCUAAACAGAUACAAUCAAACAAAACAAAACCAUCUGCUCAUCGCAGAUUCAGAUCGAAAAUUGGGGCCAAAAAAUACGAAGAAAAAUGACGAUGUUUCACUUCUUCAACUGUGCGAUCCUCACUUUCGGUCCUCACGCCGUCUACUACUCCGCCACUCCCUUGUAAUGUCCCUUCUUCCUCUCUUUUUUUGCCUCAUUUUCAUGUAAUUUUUGUGAUUUGUUAAUCGAUUAAAACAUUUUUUAAUAUCGUUUAAUUUUUGUAAUUUAAUAAUAAAUUAAUACCGAUCUGGUGUUCAAUUCAAAAUUUGAAUGAAAAACAGAAGCUGUUUCGAUAAAAAAUGUUUCUUUAGAAAAAAUUCCACUGUUAAGUAGUAAUUGCUAAAGUGAACUAAGAUCUAGAGCGAAAUGUUUAAUUAGUUUGAUUAAAAUGCUGAAAAAUAUUAUGUUGAAGGAAUUUUUUACUUUCUAAUAUAAUUAUGGCGAUGUUAAUUUAUGAAUCAGUGUCUUUAAUAGUAAAUCAUGUUUAUGUAGAUCGGAGUAUGAUACUCUUGGUACUUCUGUUAAAGCUGCCCUUGUUUAUCUUGGAACUGCUUUGGUAAAGGUGAGUACGUGCUAAAAAUCUUUACUCUUGUGUUUCUCGUCACUCUAUUUGGAUUGUUAAUUUUUUUUUUCUUUUGGCUUUAAUAUGGUGGCAGCUUGUUUGUCUCGCAACGUUUUUGAAGGUUUCUGAGAAUGACGGCUUCGAUCCGUACCAGGUACUUCUGUUUCUGUAGUUCUUAAAUUGGAAUUUACAUGGAAGAACGUAGAUAUUGGGCGGAUUAUUUUUUUGUGAUGUAGUUGAAGAUAAUCAUAUUCUAAAGUUAGAAAAUAUUUUGAAAAUUAGUACCUCUUUCUUAUUUAUAGUUGCAUGAUGUAUGUUACGGAUGUAGCGUGUGCCAUGUAGUAGUACUAUGAGUCAUUUUUGGAAACAAUCUAUGAAUUUCAACUUAUCACAAUUUGUAUUGUUUUCAUAUUUUCAGGAACUUUUGAAGGCAGUGAUUGGUUUUAUAGAUGUUGCUGGCCUUUAUUUUGCCUUAACACAGUUGACUCAUAGGAACAUCUCUCAAAAUCAUAAAUUUCAAGCUGUUGGACUUGGUGAGUGAGAUUGACUUGGUCAUCUUACUUGAAAAUAAUGUGAAUCUUUGAAAUUUGGUCUUACUAGUAGAUGAAUGAACUUAUAUUUGAAAAUAAUGUGAAUCUUUGAAAUUUGGUCUUACUAGUAGAUGAAUGAACUUAUAUUUGAAAAUGUGGCAAUGAAAUGCUCUGUUUACUCGAACUCAGGUGUGAGUGUUGAAUACGGGUUGCAUCAGAUACAGAUGUGCUUAGAUUUUUCCAAGUUUUGCAUCUAUCCAACGUAUUUUCUAAGUUUUUCCAUGUAUUUGGAGCAUCCUCUAAGCUUAUAUCCCACAUUCAUAUGUCGAACAUGGGUAUUUCAAGAAGAAUGAAGUGUCUUAGCGAAUAUGGUUCUUUUCACUUUUCUUAAUUCUUGAGCACUAUGGCUUCUUUCUUUUAUGUUGAUAGGAUGGGCAUUUGCUGAUUCGGUUCUACAUAGAUUGGCACCCCUUUGGGUGGGAGCUAGAGGACUAGAAUUCACUUGGGAUUUCAUUCUACAAGGCUUGGAAGCAAAUGCUAAUUUGGUAUGUAUAUUUCUUCAAUGAUUGGAACAUUUCUUUUGUGACCAGCUUGUCCGCAUUCUCGAUGUUAUAUCAGUAGUUUGUUUCUAAGUGCUUUCACAAAUGAGAAAAAAAGGACCAUGUAACGGCUAGAAUUUAUCUCUAUCCUUUUAUCAAUUCAGGUGUUAAGUAUAUCUCUUGCUGCAUUGGGAUCUUUAAUGUGGCUUCGCAAAAACAAGCCCAAGACUUUGAUUCCCAUAAUAUACGCAUGUGCCGGAAUUGUUGCUACCAUGCCAUCCAUUACAAGGUCUGUUUUAACUUUCUCCAUGACAUCAUUUUCUCUAUACAUGGCCGCCUUUGCAAUGAAUACUAGAUGAUAAUUUUUCGUUUUUUGGUUGGCUAAAUCUCGGCAGCUAUCUAAGGCGAGGAUUGGGAUGGCACUUCCCGAAGGUGGUAGGCUUCGAACUGUUCACGUCUUUGAGUAUGGCUUUCAUUAGUUGGCAAUUGUUUUCUGCAUGCCAAAGGCCCUCUUCAUGAGGAGCAAAGUUUAUACCCUCCACUUGAUGUUUGAAAGAGAUUUUAUUGCCCUUCAAUUUUUCAAUCAUCUUUGAUGUACUGUUGGAACUAUCUUAACAUCAAUCUGUAAGAUUUUUGCCAAUGGCAGAAAAACUCAGAUUUUGUAUCUCUAGAAAAAUUAGAGAAAAAGAAAAAUGAUUUUGGAUGUAGAAUUUGGAAGCAUUAUUGUUUUAUACCUUCAAUGACCUUUUGCAUCACACAAAAAUGUUGGCAUUAAUUUGGAAAUUUACAUGUUUUGUAUGAUGGAUUGGAUCUUCGUUACAUACAUAUAUGGGGUUGUUGGUAUUGUACCAGUAUGCAGGGACGAAGCCAGAAACAUUUUAUAAUGUUUCUUAGCUCGGGCACUUUUCAAAUUUUGAAAAUUUAAUUCUAACCAAAUAUGAUUGGUUAAAUUUUACUAUUGAUCUUGUAUUGUGUGUAAAGUUAGAGAUUUAGUCCAUGUUUUGGAACACAAGAUUUUAAAAUUUUAGUCUUAAUGUAAACAAUAGUCAUUAAAUCUAUUAAUUAAUUUAUUUUUUUUUUGUUUUUAAUAGGUGGAGAUGACAAGCUGACAUAGCAUUGAUAUGUUUAACGCAUUAAAUUUUGAAAAUAACAAGCUUAACUUAAUGAAUUAAUAGUUGUCAUUUGAUAAGGAUUAAAUUUAAAAUUCUAAAAAUAUAAGAAUUGAAAAUGACUAAAUUAAAAUACAAAUAAAUUCAAACUUGAUCAAAAUAUAGGGUCUAACACAUAAUUUAAUAACUCAAUAUAAUACAUUGAAAUGUACAGUACUAAAUUCUCUUGGUUGUAGAGAUGUUUUGUUGAAAAGAUUUUUUUAUUAUUCAAUUUAGUACUUAUAAUAAUUAAUUGAUUUUAUUUAUUUCAAAAUUGAUUAGCUCCCUUGCAGGUUACUGAAAACUUGCAAUUAUUUUGAUCACACAAACCAACAAAAAUUCACAUCAACAUUACACCAAGGACCUAAAAGGAAAGAAAAAACAAGGGGUUGUGCUCACUCCUCGGAUUCCUCUAGCCAUGCUUCAAUACGCAAAAGAACAAACCCAACUGCAACCCCAACCAAAACGAGUCCAUUCAUUAUAGCCGCAAUCUUGAAUAUCUCAGCCGCUUCAUUGCACGUCGACGAUAAACCACCGCCACCCUUUCUUCCUUCGCCAUUCCCUUUCAAGUUGCUAACAACAUUAGCAAACCACUUCUCGGUACUCACGGGCAUCCCAAGUGAAACCACGUUGUUAUGUGCUUUCAAUCCACCAUAGCAACUCAUUCCACCAAUGUAAACCGCUUUGGGUGUUGUUUCUCGAGCUUUGCUGCCGUAAUUCACCACCGACGCGGUGGCCGUGGUUGGAGCGACAACAGCCGAAGUACUUGUUGCCAUGUUCACAAAGCUAUAACCUUUUCUGGUGAGUUGGGUCGUGUAGGAUGUUGGAGAUAGAGGAGAGGGAAGAAAAAGAUAGUGUGGCGUAUGUAGGGAGUGAUUUUGGAUAAGAUAUGUUGGAUUUUGGUUGGCUGCCAAAACAUGAGAUGAGAAUAUGAUGGGCCCUUUAAAUGGAACAAAUUUAUUCUAAUACGCUAGAAAUUGGUAGGAGGUAGAUUGCAUGUUGUCCAUUUUAUUUAAAAAAUAAAUAAAUUAGUUCUUUUAGGUUAAAUUAAAGAAUAAAUUAGCAUUUCCUGUUAAAAAUUAUAUCCAUUUUUGCUAUUAAAAAAUGGUGUAACUAAUAAAAUAAUCAGACUACAAGUGUCAUGUGUACUUUAUGCUGACAUAUAAAAAUCAAUUUUUAACAGAAUAAAUGGAUGAAAAUUUACUCAUUUUUUUAUUGGAAGGACAAAAUGCAAUCUGACCCCUAAUAUAAAGGCCUUCAUAAUACUUUUACCGCUAGAAAUCUAAUUCGAUUAAUUAAAAUUUAAAUUUGAUUCAACUCAAUUUAACUACAAAAUCAAUUAACAUGAACUUCUCCAACUUGAGUCCCCAUAUAUUUGACCUAGAAAUUAUCCAAACAAAAAAUGAUUGUAACAUGAAAAUAACUAAACCCAAAACCAAAAUAAACUGAAAAAGUAAUUUGAAAAAACCUAAACCUAAAUAUCAAAUUUGAAAUUAUCUAAAUUCAAAAUAACCUAAACUCAAAAACCAAACUAACAUAUAAAAAAUUUAUGAGAAAUAACUAUUUUUAAUCCGAACGUAUGAAAAAUGAAUAUUAGUAUUUUUUUUUUCAUUUUCUUUUUAAAAAAUUUUUAUAAUCAGUAAUUAUAUUGGAUCCUAUUUAGAGUAGAUGCUUAUCGGAAGAUAAAACUCUUCCAAUAUUGUUUUCUUCAUCCACAAGACACGAAUUUAAAAUCUUAAGGAAUAUUGAGGGUGAAUGCAUAGAUUUUCUUUUAGUUUUAUUUUGAUUUGUAAUGAUUUAUUAUUAAAAUAGUUCCCAACCCACACCACAAACAAGACUACCCCAUCUAAUAGCAUUAGGCCGAGACCCGAGUAUUUUAUUAACUCAAUUCUUAGUUAUUAUUGGAAGUCAUAUUCCAUUAGUAAAAGUACUAUGAAAUCCCAUGUAUUAGGAGUAAGAUUGCUUUUUAUCCCUUCUAUUUAAAAAAUCGGUAAAUUGGUCCUUAAACAUUAGAUUAAAAAGCGAAUUGAUCCUUUUUGUUAAAAUUUCAUCCAUUUGUAUUGUUAAAAUUUGACGUGCUAAUCAAACUACGACACAUAGCAUGCUACGUGUACCUCAGGCUGACGUACAAUGAUCAGUUUUUAACAACAAAAAUAAACGAAAUUUUUAACAAAACUAGUUUGCUCUUUGAUCUAAUAUACAAGAAUGAAUUUAUCGCUUUUUUAAGUAAAGGAGACAAAAUGCAAUCUAACUCCUAGUACAAGGGCCUCUAUGAUACUUUUACCUAUUUAACUUUCUUUCAAAACAUCUUUCAAUUGUUUUGGACCAACCAAAAAAAUCAGUAAAAAGAAAAGAAACUUAAUUGAAUUUGAAUCAUAUAUUGAAAUUAUUUCAAGCAAAGCUUAUUGUAGGUUCAAUAUCACAUAUAAACACCCAAACCCCCACCCCCCAGAAAAAAGGACUUCUCCUUAUACCCAAUGUCAAAUUUCUUGCAUGUGACAGUGACUUUACCUUUUACCUAUAAAACAUCAUUGAACUUAGCAUAAAAGGGACAAAAAUGGUGGAUUAAAAAACAAGGACUAGGAUUGGAAAAUACUAAAUUUUGUUGACAAAAUAUACCAUUUACUAAUUUAAGUCAUGUGAUGAGUCAACAAAACCCACAUACCUAACUCACAAUCCCACACAACUAUCAUACAAAAAUAAGGUCACCAUAAUGAAAAAAGAUGAUCAUAGAUAUGCAUGAAUUUCAAGUUCAUCAUCAAACUAUAUUUUUGUGUCUUGAAAAUCCCUCUUUUUUUUUCUCAAUUCUAUUUUGCAUUACAAAUUACUUGACUCUUAAGCUAACAUGCCAAUUGUAAACCAAACUCUACAUUACACUAAAAAAAACCCAUGAUUAAAAACACCCGAAAAAGGCGAAAAACAAAAGACACACCUCGGUUUUACGAGAGCAAAUCCUCUUGGACUCAUGUUCCUGAACCUUCAGAUAUUGCGGAUAAAUCGUUUUCUUCGAUGAAUGAUGGAUUAAGAAACUUAGCCACAAAAGCCCAUGUCUUGUAAACAUCUUCAAAGUUGGUUAGGAAACCGAGUGAUGCUGUAAUUACUUUAACUCGAAAGAAUAAGCUUUUUCCGUCUCGGCAAUUAUUAGCCAUUGGUUGACAAAGGGCUGAAUCUUCAAGCUCAAUUUCCUUGCAUUGUUGCUUCACGUUGUCCACAACUCGUACAUGACUGAGUAUACCGAUGCCAAGAGAAAUACCACUCUUCUCAGCUAGCUGCUGAACGAUUUCCGGGUCAAUUAGUCGUCCUCCGUUGCUGUCACGCACGUUGAAGGCUACGGCUGCACCUCUUUCAUAUUUGAUCUUUGGGCCAUAUAUUUGCACGAGAUGGACUCCCUUGCUUUCAUCUGAACUAGGUAACCGAAGUUGAAGUAAAGACGUAACGAGCCAGUUGAUCAGGUAACGUAGUCUAAGAGUCGUUUUGUUUAGACCCAACAUGUUGACGUGGUCGAGGUGCCGGCAAAUGAUCUCAGGUUCCUUUCUACUGCACUCUUGGUCAUCGUAAUCGUAGUCUUCAUCGGUACCGGAUUCAUCAUCAGGCAAGGUAGUCAACGAAACUUCACCAGGCUCCAACCGGCUCGGAAUUUCAAUCCUGCUGUCUUCCAUGCUAAAAGAUACCUUGCGACCCAAGCUUGCCACUUGGUCGUCAUCAUCAAAACCGAAAAGUCUACCAUUGGCGAACCUGCUCCCUUCUCUCCCACCCAACAGUCUAAACUCACCCUCAGUCUCUCUCCUAAUAGCACUUUCCUUCUCGAACAUACCAUUCUUCGGUUUGAAUCCAUUUACCUUAGAACUCAAGGUAGAAUUAACUAGCUCCGACUCAAUGCUGAUGCCAGAUUCUUCUUCAAUCUCCCCAUACUGAGAAUCUUUAGGCUUCCCAUCAUCUCCUGAAGCAGGGUCCAUUUCAGCAGGCUGUUCUUCAGGGAUCUCCGUAAUUUGAUCUGGCUCAUGUGACGCGGACAAUACAGCUGCAUCAAAAGAUAACACUGUAUCACCCCGCGAUCUCAUGUUUAUUUUCCUGUCAUCACAAACCGGACUCGUAGACAAUUUCGAAGUCAUUAUCGGAGACAAUCUCUUAUUGUUUCUCUUCCCGGAAAUCCACGACGGUAGUAGGGUCGAAUCUGUUUUCAAUCUGGUUAGUUGAUCAGAAUUAUCAGACCCUAACGGACUCUGCCCCAAAUCAAUCCAAUACGAAUUGUCCAACGAUUCAUCUUCACUAAAAAUCGGACUUUUCAUAAGAUCACCAACCGAAAGAUUCUCAGCUUCCUCGAAAAUAGUACUUGCUCCGUCUCUAUCCGAGCUAUUAUCAUGAUCCAUCUCAGUUUCAAACACAUCCCUAACUUGAUUCGAAGUAAAAACGCCUGAAAAAGCCGGCAUUUGAGACCCACCAUUCCUCUCCGGCAACCCUUCUUCCUCAUGUUUACCUCCUUCAUCAUCAAGUCCAACUAAAACAUCAAGUCCGUCAAUAGAAUCACUCAAAUACUGUGGAUAAACCGGUAAUAUCUUCACCAUACCAGACCCGGUAUGUCCAUACGGUAUCUGCAAGCUUGCCAUCACAGAUUUCUUAAUCAAAAGACAACCGAAACCCGUCGGAUCAUAACCAAAUAACCUAUAAAAUGAAGUGAUAAUAAAGUCUGGCCGAAACAACGACAAACCAAGCGAAUCCAUAUCUUUAGGACCUAAGGAACCGGCAUCAAGCAACGUAUGCCAAUGGUUUUGUUGAGCAAGUGCCAUCCAUUGAUACGAAUACUUCGCACCCGUCACUCUAGAUUGAACUGGAAACACGAAAAGACCAUUAGCAUGCCCUUUCUUCCUCUUUUUCUUAUUUGAAAUUUGCUUCCUUAACUCCCUAGAACAUAGCUUCAAUGAAGGCCAUUUAAACCAAGCAUUGUAAACCUUAGCACCUUUCUCUUUUGCACAUUGAGCCAUCCAAAUUACAGAUUGACUUUCAUGAUCAAACAUGGUCAAAAGUUUCUUAUUUGUCUGAAAAGGAUAAACUUCAGCCAACAAUUUAAAAGCAGACCCUCUACUAACAGUAAAAACAAGACCAUAUUCAUUACAAGGUAUGUUCAAAUGCUCCAAAAUCCUAGUCUUUAUAUCAUGUUCCAUAGUACCAAUCUCAGCACCACCAUAUAAAGCAUGAUUACUCAAAUUUGCAGUCACUUCAGACAAAUUAAACAUAGUUGAAUCCCAAUUCAGUUGUGUUUGGUUAUAAGAAAACAAACCAAAACCACAAUAAUCAAGACAUACCUUAACUGAAGAUUCAGACAAGUGACCAUAUUCUUCCAUUCUCAAAUGAUCAACUUUUUCAGUACCCUGAAACUUAGGGUACACUGUAAUGAACUUUGAAAAAGCAUCAUUGAAGCUUGGAAUUGAAUCUUGUGAACAAAAAAUACGGUCUGCAACAAGAGAAGUAGCAUUCAAGAACUCAUUUUGAGCACGAAGUCUAGCUAAUGAUCUUGACCGUCCAUUGGAACCAUCUUGAUUUAAUGAUGAUGAAUCAAUGUUUUGUGAUUUUGAAAGUGACCCAUCUUCAGAUGCUUCUUCAAGUGCUUCUUUAAGCUUAUUUUCUUGUAAUUGACGAAGGACUGAUAAACUAGAACCACCACCAUUGUUUCUUCUUUUGGUCUUCUUCUUCUUCUUCUUCUCUGCUAUUAAAGCUGCACAAUGAGAUAUUGGUUUCCAUAGUGAAAAAUGCAUGAAUGGUUGCUUCUUUUUUUUCACAAGAACCAAACUUUUCUUGGGCAGUUUAAUUCAAAGAACCAAACAUUCAAAUGGGGUUUAUGUUUUUUGGUUUUCAAGAUUCAAGCUUUAACUUUUUUUUUUAAAGCCCUUUACUUUAUUGCCUAAAAACAUUCAAAAAAACAAAGAUUGUUGAACACUCAGAGCUUUAAUAAGAUCAAAAGGAAUAAAAAGCAAAGAUAAGAAUUAAACAAAUAAAAAAAAAAGCUUUAGCUUUCAUCAAAGAAUUAAUCUUUGGAAUAAGAACCCUUAACUUUCAAUUCAAAUUCAACUUAACCCCCCCAAAGAUACAAAACCCAGAUUUGAAGACAUCACAGGAGAAAACACAAUGAAGAAGAAUGGGAAAAAAAUGGGGUUUUUUCUUUUUUCAAUAAAAAUUUUUAUAAAGGAAAAAGGUGAAUCCUUUGAGACCAAUCAAUUCCUACAUUUACUAAUGGCAGUUAAUACAAACAUGUCUGCAUUGAAUGCUGUUUGCUGCUACCUUUCUUCCUUUGCCCACCAUUAUUAUUACAACCUUGCUUUUUUUUGUGUACCAUAUUUGCCCCUCACAUUCAAUAAAAUAUUUAAAAAAAACUCCUUACACUGUUCUUUACUUAGUUUUUUUAGUCAAAGUCUUGGUUUUAAAUCUUUUUGACAAAUAUGGAAAAAUCAAUGAUAAAAACAGAAAAGAUUCGAGUUGAAAUGAUGCCAUGGUUGCUUAUAACAUUUCCUCUCAUAAUUCUACUCAAAAAACGAAUAAUUAAUUAUUAUACGAAUAGACUAAAAAAUAAAUUAAAUUUUUUCUCUUAAAAUUUUCAUUCAUUUAUAUUAUUAAAAACUGAAAUAAUAAUAUUUAGUGUGUCAUGCGUAGCUCAUAUUGACGUUCAAUGUAAUGACGAAGCUACAAAAUUUGGGGAGGGCAAAAUUAAGUUGUAUAAUUUUAUAAGAGCUAAAAUAUAAUUUUAUCAUUUUAAUAAAAUAUAUAUUUAUAGUUUUUAAAAGAUUAAAUCAAAAUUAUCAUUUUUGGAAGCCAAUGUAUAAUUUUAUCAUUUACUAAUUUAAAAUUUUAUAAAUUUUAGAAGUCUAGAAUUUAAAUUUCCAAACUUGAGGAGACGAAUCCCCUACCAGCCCCUGCUGUUACCUUUAAUCUAACAUAUAAGGGUUCUUAUGAUACUUUUACCUCCAUUAUCUUAUAUUACGAGUAAAUUUUGAAUAAAUUAAUCAUUUGAUUUCAUUAUUUUAAUUAAUUUUGUAUUUAUAUUGUUAAAAAUAAAAAACCCCCUUUUUUUCAAAAAUGAAACACAAUAGAGGUCAUUUUAAAUUAUAAUUAUUAUAUUUAUUUCUUAAUAUAUUAAUUAUAAUUAUAAAUUAUUAUUUGAGUUAUUAUAAUAAUGAUUUAUAAAUAAAUUUUAAUAACAUAUAUUCUCUUAUUAAUAUAUACAAAAUUGUAAUAAAAAUUAUCACAAUUCAUCAUAAUUUUAUAGAAAUUUAGUUUAAAAUUUAAAAAAUAUUAAAAUAAUUAAACUUGUUAAAAAGAAUUCUAUAACAAUGACGAUUUACUAAAAUAUGAUUAUAAAUAAUCUUGCAUCUGUCUCCCAAAUACCAAACUCCAACCAAGCGAACCAACUAGCGUAAUGUAACAUAUAUGAUAUUCUAUCUUGUAAUCUUAUAUUCUCGAAAUCAUAUUACCAAAAGUAAUCUUACAUUUCUUAAACUAAACACACCUAAAAUAUUACAUUUAACUUCAUUAUGUUUUGAUUAUGUUCAAAAUCAAGUCGAGUCAAACCGUAAAACAAUCUUCUUGUCUUUUUUUUUAAUCUACAAUACUUAAACUCGAACUUCUUAACUCGAUAAUCUCCAAUAAAAUAAGUUUAAAUCAUUGAAGAAUGACAUAUUUUUGAAUGUGACAUGUAAUGUAAGUACCCCAUCCAAUCAUGCAUCAUGCAAUAAUUCAAAGUUGUUGUUACUGUUAUUAUUCUUUUAAAGGGAAACUAGGAAACAUGAUUUAGAAUUUAGAUUGAAUCUUUGGCCCACCAUUCCUCCAAUUUUUACCUAACUAAUAAUGUUUAUAGCCAAUUUCUAUAAAUAAAUAAAAGGGUAGGAAUGUCAUUUUGAGUUCCAACUGUGAUUUUUAUCACUUAGGAUUCCAACCAAUUUUUUUGGAAGAAUAUUGGAAAAUAGACUCUAUUCAUUUAAUUCCUUUUCCACAUUUUGUCACAUUAAAUUAUGAUUUUUUUUAUUUAAUAUCUUAUCGUUAUACGAAAAAUUAUACGAUGUUAUUUAUGAAUAUUUAUAUUUAUAUAUUAUAUAUUAUAUAUUAAAGUUAAUUGAGUCUUAAUUCGAUUGACAUCGAUAUUGUUGUUAACGCAGGAGAACGUAAGUUUGAGUAAUUACGUCUAAUUCUAGAUAUUGUAUAAAAAAAUAGAUAUAAUAAGAAUUUAUAAUGAAAUUAAUAUUAAGAAAUUACCAAAAAUUUAUUUUAUUUAUAAGACAAUAAUAUUUUUUUUAAAGGUAUAAUUGAAUUUAUUUUAUCAUAAUUGAAUAUUUGAUGAUGAGAUAAUUUGGGGAUAAACAUCUAUUGACCAAACAAUGGACAUAAUCAAAAGUUUUAAGGAUGUGUUAGAUUUCGAGAACUUCAAAGUUCAAACCACGUGACUAACCUCUGUCGUUGACCUUUGGUUCUUUGGAAUAUGGAAAAUGAAACAUUUCAAUCGUGAGUUUAAAUGUGUUUAAAUACGUAUUUUUUAUGAUUUAAAAGUUUAAGAAUUUAUUAAUAAAUGUAGGUAUUGAAUUAAAUAAUAAAAUUUGACUGUAUCUUAAUUUGAUUGAUAUUAUUUUUAUUAUAAUAAUUUGAAGGAUGUAAAUUUAAACGUGUUUAAACAUUUAAUAUCCUUUACUUCAUAGAUUAAAGGUUUAUAAGUAUAACAAUAUAAAUUUUAAGUUAUUAAUUGGUAUCUCAUUUACUUUCAUUUCUUAAGAUUAAGAUGAUUGGACACUCAGGGGAGAAAUCAGAAUAUUUUACUUAGGGAUCGAAAUUAAAUUGUAAUCUUUACGACAGUAAAAAUGAAAUUUAAUUAUUUUAAUAGCUUAUAUCUUUAUAAUUUUUAAAAAAUUUAAAGGACCUAAAUGAAAAUUUUUCUAUUUUAGGAAGCCGAUGCUCUAUUUCGCCCCUGUUGGCACUCCUGUGGAAUAAAAUUAUAUAAAAAAUAUGAUCUCGUCUAAUAUGGAAUCUUAUUAUAAUACAAUCUAUUUUAAACCUAGGGUUGUGAUUAAAAAAUAAAAAUGAACAACUUGAAACUAUUAGACGAAGCUAUGUCAAGAACUCUGAAUAUGUAUCGAUAAUCUUGAACUUGUUCAAUCAAUUAUAGAAUAAGAGAAAAGAUGUGUCUUCUCUUACACAAACCCAUUCUAUUUCUCUCUCUCUUUAUUUGGUGUUAAAAUUUAUUGAAUUAGUUGAAAGAUAGACGUACGUUUUUCGCCAUUUUAAUUUCAAUCUUGUUCGUGUAAAGAUUCUUUUAAAAUUGUAGUUCACAUUUAAUAAUAGUAGCGAUUUGUGUACUUUAACAAAGUUUGAGAUUUAAUUCAUAAUUAAGUCUUAUUUUUCAUCAAUUAACCAUUGAUUUAUCUAAUCGGAUUUUCAUAAUUUCAAAAGUUACCCAUUAGAUUUGAAAGGUGAAAUGAGCCAAAUCAACAAUUUUUGAGCUACAAAAAAUUUUGAAACCCACACAUUAAAGUUUCCAACUUUAAAGUAUUAAGCUUUUACUUUUCCUCUUUGUCAAAGGAUCUAUCUUUAUUAAUGACCUCGAAAUUUUCAGUCCUCUUUUUUUUUUUCAAUGUAAUUAAUUAAACCCUAAAUCUAUGUUAAUCCCCAACAAACAUUUAACAUUGAAGUUUGUUUGGCUUUUAAUGUUUUCAUUUUUUUCUCAAUGUUUUAUCAUCAUUUCCAAAAUCUAGAUUCUUUUGUUUUCUUUUGUGGUAAAAUUAUUAUAGAGGUCCCUAUAUUAAGGAUUAAAUUAUAUUUGACUUUUUAUAAAAAAAAAUAUGUAAAUUAGUCCCUAUACAUUAAAUUAAAAAGCAAAUUGGACCUUUCUGUGAAAAACUUCAUCCAUUUCUACUGUUAAAAAUAAUCAGACAAUUACACGUGGUGUGUCGCAUAUACCUUAUUUUGAUGUAUAGCGACUAAUUUUUAACAGUAGAAAUUGAUAGAAUUUUUUAACAGAAAGACUAAUUUACUUUUUGAUCUAAUGUACAAGAACCAAUUUACUCAAUUUUUUAAUAAAAGAGACAAAAUACAAUCUAACUCUUAGUAUAAAGAUCUUCAUAGUACUUUUACAUUUAUUUUUAUUUUCUAAUGCAAUCUUCAUUUGUCUUGUAAUUACAAUUAAAAACCAUAAAUAUAAUUUUUAUUACAUUUUAGCCAACACCAACUCGGGUGGUAAAUAAUUAAAUAAAUCAUUUUUUAAAAGGUAAUAAGGGUUUUUUUUUUUUUAACUUAAACUCAAAAUAAAUUUAAAAGAAUUUUCGCACUUUGUGAGAUUUGAAUUUAAGACACGAUUUAAUCUAACCGUCAUCACCAAAAAUCAAAUUGACUUUUUACAUCAAUUUUUUUCAUAAAUAUAUUUUCCACAUGUUUUUUUAGAUCACAAGAUGUGCCAUAAUCUAGUAUAAUUUAAUCUCUUUAGUCUAUUUAUUUAAUAAAAAAUUACAUUUUGACCUUUUUUAAAAGUUAAAAAUUUUCGAUUAAGUCAUUUUAGUACAAAUACUUUAGCUUGGCCCCAGAAAAGCUUUUAAUUUCAUCUCAACUCCCAAUCACACAAUUCCUAAUUUGAAUUUAUCUAACAAUACAAUCCCUCUUUAAAGUAUUUAGACAAGUAUUUGAAUAAUGAUAUUAAAGUAGAAACAAAAGGAAUAUAGACAAACAAAAAAGAAAAAAAAUAACAAAGAAACAAGCCAAAAGAGGAAAAGAAGAAAAGAAACCGACCAAUCGAAAAUAUUACAUGGCUUAAAAUGGUUAUAAAUUGCUCUAUGAGUGGAUCAGAGAUAAAUCAUAAGUUUUGAGGAGGUCAAGUGUAAAUUUCCCAUCAUAUUAACGUGUAUUUUUAAUUUUUUUAAGGGGUUAUAAGGCAAUUUUACCAUUUUAAGGACGGGUUAACUCUAAUUUACAUUUAUAUAAAUCUGUUAUACUAUAUAUUGAUAAUAGAUAAUCGCAAAGCAAUAAGAAAAAAAAAUAAGAAUAUGCAGAUUUUACAACGAAAACUCCUAUCGGGAAAAUCAUGAGAAGAGGAGGAGAAAUUCACUGAUGUUGAAAAAUCAUAAUACGAGAGGUUUUCGACUACACACAUUUUAAGGGUUAAACAACCCUGUUAUAAUCAAUGUCUAAUAGAAGAAGUAUAGUCUUAUACGGAUUCAACUUGUGCGGCAUGGUUCGUUCGACCCUUGGUUCUUCACCCUCACAGAUCCCCUAUUUCGCCUCUCUAUUUUAUUUCUUUAACAAAUGAGUUGCACUUCAAAAUUUUCAAGCCGAAUCAAGAUGAGAUUCGGGUCACAACUCUAACAAAAUCAAAUCAAAAUUUUGCGUUAGAUUCAAAUCUUUGUAUUAUAUUUAUACUUUUCCAAUGCUAGAUAGAGGUGUAUAUGUUUAAAAUUUGUAAGAAAAUGAGCAAUGGAGGGGUUGAAAAUUUGUUUUAGUUGAAUCACUUUCCCUGUAAUGUCCAUUUCAUAUAUGAAUUUUUUAAAUCUUUUGGGGCAUAAAGUUCAUCAAUAUCCAUGCCAUUGGGGAUGAUGCUGAGGCUCUUUAAAGUUGUUUUCUUUAAUUAUCGAGAUGAGACAGACAGCCAUGCAAAUGUUGGUUGGUGCUGUCAUUUCCAUUUCUGUCUUUAUUACAACACUUACAUUGCUAUGUUUUUUUUUUUUUUUGGCCAUUUCCUUUUGCAAAAUCAUGAUCUUACCAGCUCCAAUUACCUUUCAAGAAAAUGGCCAGAAAAAAAAUUCCCAGAAACCUCGUAAAGAUUAGCUAUUGAAUCGUAGGGUUUAAUUUUAAAAUUUCAAAACAUUAUUAUAUGGAUAAAUUGGAUAUGAUAUAUUAAAAAAAAUACUAUUAAAAUUUAAGAUUUUUAUUUCUUUUCUUCUUUUAAUACAUCAGAUCUAAAUGUCGAUUGAGUCUUAGCUUAUAAGUAUUGUUAUCAAUGCAGGAGGACGUCGGUUUGAGUGCGCUGAAGCGCAUUAUCUUCCUAUUUAUGGUUUGGGGAGGGACUAUGAGUAGUUUUAGGCAUUAUGUCAAAAAGAGUUAAUAUGAUCAGAACCUAUAAUGUGAUUAUUCAAAAAAAAAAAUCUAAAUUGUUCAUAUGAUCCAUACAAACAUAUUUAAAAUUUAAUUCAUGUGUUUUAAACAAGUUUUGUAAGUAAAUUGGUUCCUAAACUAUAUCUCAAUUUUCAUAAUAUUUUUUUGGGUAAACUACAUCACAAGUCACCUAACUAUGGGUCAUUUUCUUAUCAUAUUUAUUCUUUUUAAUACAAUACUUAGAACUAACUAUAGCUCUUCAUAAUCAUUAAAUAGGAGGUUAAUGUAAUUCAACGUACUCAAAUCAUCGCCCUUCUGCACUAACAAUAACAUUAACACUAAUCGAGUUAAUACACAAUCGGCACAUCCUCUUAAUUAUUAUAAUAAUAACGAUGGGAAAUGAAUAAAGGUUGAACCUACACUUAACCCUUCAAUUUAAUAUGAUUUUCCCUUCUGAUUUUGUCUGUCAAUUAAACCCUUGAAUUUAAUAAACAAUGGAAGAAAUAAAGACAGGGAAAAAGACAUAAUUGAUGCGUUGAAGAAACCAAUUAUUGAGACAAAUUUUGAUCAUCGUUGGAACCCUCUUUUAUCUUCUACACUUCAUUUUUAUAAUCAUAUGAUUCUUCUUCUUGAUCCAUUUUAAUUACAAAAUCUUGUUUAUUUCAGAAUAUAUAUACAAAUUAUUGGGACAUGUUGCUUGGGAUAGUGGGUCACUUUUCUUUAUUUUUAAUUUUCAUUAUUUAAAUAAAUAAACCCUACAAAUCUCAGUGUUCUUAAGAAACAAAAUUCCAGGAUUCAGACAAAACAACAACUUGCAAUGAGAAACAGAGAAGAAAACAAAACCAAAAAAAUGGUAGAAACGAAACAAGUAUAAAAUAAUGUUAACUGGUCUGAAAAUUUCCCAAUAUCAAAGGGUCCAAAAGACAAAAAGUGAACUUUCCAAUGUACCAAAAAAAAAAAGUGGUUGGGUUUUUCAGAACUGAAAAUUUCUUAUUUGUAUGCUUUAGAUGAAUUGGCAUACAAUAAGAAGAUUGAGAAAUAUUUAGUUCAGUCUGUCACCAACCAUGUCGUGUUUGAAAUUUUCUUUGGACCUUCUAAUGUUUUAGCUGGUUAUUAUCUGAAAUCCCUAAAACCACAAUAGUCGGAUUUUAUUUUGUUCUAUGCAAGUUUAGGGUUUAAGUUUAGAGUUGAUGAAGAUAAAAAAAAAUACUAUAUAUUGAGAAAUUAAUAAAAAGAAAAAACUUAUUUGCCCAUUAUUUUGGAUUAGGUUUAUUCUAAAUUUAGAUUAUUACGGUUUUUAAUUAAUUUUGGGUUCGAGUUGAAUAAAUUUAAAUAACUAAUCAAAUAUAAAAUUGAAUCAAUCACAUCAUAUUUUCGAGUUGAGGUCUCUAGACUCUGAAUCCAAAUUGUUUGGGCUACAUUCAAGGAAAUAAACAAACAAGCCAAACCCAAUCCAUUGAAUGCCUUGGCCACAAGCCCUGAGCCUAUGUGCUUGGGCCUCAUCCAGUUCAAUCACCCAAUAACUUUUCAUAAAUAAAAAAAGCGUCAAGAUAAAUUUAGCUCUUAACGUUUAUAUUUUUUUUUGUUAAUUUAGUCUUUAUUUUUUUAAUUAAAUUUGACCUCCAUAUUUUAAAAAGAAUCGAUUUUGACCAUUAGCCUUUUAAAAAGAGUCAAAUUGACGAAAAUACUAACUAAAAUAUUAAAAUUUUACAUAUGGCAACUCACAUGACAGUUCACAUGUACUUUAUAUAUAUAUUUUUAAUUUUAUCAACUUUUUUAAAAGUUAGUUGUUGAUGUGAGUGUAUAAGACAAAUAGUGUUAUGUUAGUAUGAAGUACACAUGGGCUUCCGUGUAGGUUGCCACGUUAAUAUCAUUUUAAAAAUUAAUAUUUUAGUCAACAUUUUCGUUAAAAGAAAUUAAUUUGACUUUUUUUCUAAAAGGUUGAUGACUAGAUUUAUUUCAAAGAAAGAAUAAAGGUCAAAUUGAAAAAAGAAGAAGUAAACAUUAAAUACUAAAUUUAUCAUUACGUCAAAAAAAGUAAAAUUUUAAUAUCUAUACUUAUAUAUAUUAUAUUGGUGCCGCUAGUCAACUCAUCACUAACUCAAUUAAUAAAUUACUUAAAAGCCCUCUUUUAAUAAAUAAUUAAACAAUUAAUCUCUACUUAUAUGAACAAGUUGAAUCGAACUAAAAAAACCUAUUUAAACGGAUUAAACUGAUUUUCUCUAUUUUAAAUUUUUUAUGAUAUUUUAAUUAUUUAUUUAAUCCAACAUAGUUUAUUACCCUUAGAUUAAGAUAUAUAAAGCAUCUAACCAUAUAUAAGAUUCCAAAAUUUUCCUAGCACCCAAUUUGUCACCAUAUGUUUAUAUAUAUAAUAUAUAAAGAGUGUCUGUGGGUAUCAUCAUGGUGAGACACGUCCAUAUAGAAAAUGUUGGUGAGUAUUUGGGAUAAUGAAUAACAGACUAAUUUCAGAUUCAGUCCCUGACAUUUUUUUAUUUAUGCGAUUGGGUCCAUACUUGAAGCAUUUAGCAUGCUCAUUUAGGUUCAUGCCAUUAGUUAAUUUAUUUAGACCAAAAUAAGUUAUAUUUGCCCAAAAUAGUAAAACACUAAUUUGGAUCAAUUUCAUUAAUUAUUUAGGGGACAAAAACAAAAUUAGGAAAUGUUUUUAAUGUCAUUAAUAUCUUAUCCAUAAUCACCAUAUUUUUUCUAAUUUAGAUUCAAAUUGGCCCUCUAAUUUGAAAAUUUUCCGAUUGAGUCCUUUAAUUGUCAAUAUCAUACCAAUUAUGCUCUUUUUAAAACUUAAUAUACAGCUUAGGUAUUAAAUGUUAGCUCAAAUAUAACAUGUAGCAUACUUAAAAACACAUGAAUCGAAUUUUAUACACGUCUCUACUUAUCAUAUGUACAAUUUGGAUCUAAGGUGUUAAAAAAAAUACUAUAUUUAAGUCCCUUUUUGAGUUAAUGUCAGCCGGGAAAUGACUAAAAGAUUAAUUCCUUUAUAAUGUAAUAAAUAUAAUAAUGAAAAUAUUUUUGUCUUUUAGAUUUUAUAUACAAUCUAUGAAAAUCAAUUUUUGCCUAAAAUAUAUAGAUUUGAACAAUUUAACGCUUGAGCCGAUGAUUAAACUGAUAGAAAAUUUUAAUUAAUACUUUGAAAAGUUAAUUUUUUAAAAAAUUUCAAGAUUAAUUUAAAACCCAAAUCAUAAAUUUAAGGAUGCCUGAUGCAAUUAACCCUAAUCUUUCCCAACUUUCAUGUAUAUUCCAUAUAACUAUUAAUAAAAUUAUUAUGGAGAACUUUAUAAUAUGAGUCGAAUUGCAUUUUACUCCGCUACUAAAAAGUGAACCAAUUAGUCUAUAUACAUUAGAUUAUAAAGCAAAUUAAUAUUUCUGAUAAAAACUUCAUUCAUUUUUACCAUUAAAAAUCGAUUCAUGUAUGUCAGCGUGAGGUGCACAUAGCAUACUAUGUGUAACUAUUUAGUUAUUCUUUCAACCCGUCAAAUUUUAACAAUGGAAAUGAAUAAAUUUUUUAAUAAAAAUAAUCAGUACAUAUAUUAAUUUACUUAUUUUUUUAUUAAAACGAACAAAAUACAAUCUAACACCACGUUUCUUUAAAAGGAUAAAUAAAAGCACCAUUAUACAUAUAAAUAAAAUAAAAGCAAAAAAAGCCUGUGAAGUUGUCCAUUUCUAUAAAGUUUCACCACCACGACUGGUUUCAUCAAUACUCAGUACUUUAAACUAACUAUUAUGCUACCUUCUCUGAACUCCGUCGCCGUCGCCGUCGCCGCCGUACCUUUCUUCAUCUUCUUCUAUUUCCUUAAAAGGUUCCUUCCUUCCGGUCGAAAAAUGGGAUCCAACACCCUCCCAACUGUCCCUGGUAUAUAUAUACAUACACACCAUUAUACAUAUAUUAUUGAACCCUCAAUUUUUUUAAAAAAAACUGAUUGCUGGGAUUGUUGUUUUGUUGUUGUUGCAGAGGUGCCAGGGCUGCCAAUCAUCGGAAACUUGCUGCAGUUGAAAGAGAAGAAGCCUCACAAGACGUUUACGAAAUGGGCAGAGACACAUGGACCGGUUUAUUCUAUCAGAACUGGAGCUUCGACCGUUAUCGUCAUCAAUUCGCCAGAGACGGCCAAAGAGGUUCGCACUUUUAUCUUCUUCCUUACAGUGCUUUAAAUCUUUGGGCUCAUUAUUUCAAGUUUGAUUAUUUAUAAGUUUGGAUUUGGAUUAUUUAGUGCUUUUCAUUCUAAUUUAACAUUUUAACACUAGUGUUAAAUUAAUUCGAGUUCACAGUAAUUUUGAGUUUGAAUUAUUCAAAUCAUUUUUAAAGUUGGAGUUGUUAAUUUUUUAUUCAGAUUAAUUUUUUUAAAAAUAUUUGGACCAAAGUUUUCGUAUUUGAGUAAUUUCGGAUUUGGAUUGUUCGGCCAUUUGUAGGGUUCAAUUUGGGAUUGGGUCAUUCGAGUUUAUCAAUUAAACAUUUUCUAAGUUAAAUCAUUUAGUGCUUUUCAUUCUAAUUCAACAAUUGGAUUAAAGUCGUUUUAAGAUCAAAUCAUUUUGAGUUUGAAUUUUUCGAAGUUCAAAUUAUUUAAUACUCAAAUCUUUUCAAAUUGAGUUCAACUUGAAUUUUUAUUUGAAUGAAUUAAAUUAAAAAAUUGAAAAUAAUUAAAACCAGCAAUUUUAUGACAGAAUGUAAUUCCUCUUAAUUAAAUAAAAACCAAAAUGAUUUGAUAUUAAAAUACUCCAAUCUAAUUGAGUUUAGCUCGAUUGGCAUCGAUAUUCUUGUCAAGACAGGAGGUUGUGGGUCUGAGUGUCCAAAAACGCAUUAUUCAAAAAAAAUUCCAAAAAGAAAGUUUCACAAUUGAUUUUAAAAAGUUACAUUUUACCCUCUCUACUAAAAAAGCCGAUAAGUUAAUCCCUAUACAUUAAAUCAAAAAACAGACUGGUCUUUAUGUUAAAGAAAGCAAAAUGUAAUCUGAUUCCUUUAUCUCAUUUAAGUCAAUGAAAAAUACUUUUUUAUUCUCAAAAUUGGCUAAUUUUCCAGAGUCCGAUGUAUCAAGGGUCUAUAAUUUUAUUCAUCAUUAUAAAUAAAGUUCGGUUUUAAAAUUCUGGACUACGUGUUAUCAUUUGAUUUACCGAUAUUCGUCCCUUACAGGCCAUGGUGACCAGAUUUUCAUCCAUUUCAACAAGAAAGCUAUCAAAUGCCUUGAAGAUCCUCACAUUCGAUAAAUGUAUGGUCGCGACAAGCGACUACGACGAGUUUCACAAGCUCGCUAAACGUUGUUUACUAACAAAUACUUUGGGUUCAAACGCUCAGGUUUACUCGAAUUUCUCGUUUUCAUUUUUGUUUUCGAUUGCCAUUAUUGUUUUUUUACUCUUCCGUAUUACCUUAGAGACGACACCGUCACCACCGAGAAACCAUGAUCGAGAACAUAUCGAGCAAAUUGCACGAUACGUUGAAGAAAGAUCCUAUAAGACCUAUCAACUUCAGGGAAGUAUUCGAGUCCGAACUUUUCGGAUUAGCAAUGAAACAAGCUUUAGGUAAAGAUGUGGAAUCGAUUUACGUUGAGGAGAUCGGUACGUUGUCGAGGAAAGAGAUGCAUAAAGUUUUGGUCAUGGACAUGAUGGAAGGCGCUAUCGAUGUAGAUUGGCGUGAUUUCUUCCCAUACUUAAGAUGGAUUCCGAACAAAAGUUUCGAAUUGAAUAUCCAACAAAAACAUUUCCGAAGGAUGGCAUUAAUGAAUGCUUUGAUCAAAGACCAAAUGAAACGAAUCGAUGCAGGGGAGGUAAUUUCGAUUUCCUUUACUAUGUUCAUAUUCGAGAUUUAAUCUCUAAUACCAACUAUGAUCCAGGAAGUGAAUUGUUACCUCGAUUACUUGUUAUCCGAAGCAAAGACACUUACAAUGGACCAAUUAGCGAUGUUGUUGUGGGAGACAAUCAUCGAAACAGCUGAUACGACUUUAGUCACAACAGAAUGGGCAAUGUAUCAACUUGCAAAAGAUACGAUCCGACGGGUUCGUUUUUCAUUACUUUAUACUAAUCCGCUCAAUCUCCGAUUCCAAAAUUUUCUCGUAUCUUAAAUAGGACCGUCUUUAUCACGAACUCCAAAAAGUAUGCGGUUCCAACAAGGUUAAGGAAGAAAACUUCUCACAAAUCCGAUACUUGGACGCCGUUUUUCAUGAAACUCUUCGGAAACAUAGUCCGGCGCCGUUAGUUCCGUUACGAUACGUGCACGAAGACACACAAAUUGGAGGGUAUCAUAUACCAGCAGGAAGUGAAGUUAGUUUCUUUUUUGCCUCUUUAAACUCGCCAGUCAGCCAUACCGCGGUGAAUUUGUUCCCGGACCUUGCUAUUAACAUACAUUUUUUGAACAGAUUGCUGUUAACAUCUAUGGUUGUAACAUGGACAAGAACUAUUGGGAAAACCCCGAAGAAUGGAACCCGGAAAGGUUCCUCGACGAGAAAUACGACCCAUUGGAUUUGCAAAAGACAAUGGCGUUCGGAGCCGGGAAAAGGGCGUGUGCCGGUUCACUUCAAGCAAUGUUGUUAGCUUGUGGUGCAAUAGGUAGAUUGGUGCAGGAAUUCGAGUGGCAACUGAAAGACGGCGAGGAGGAGAAAGUUGACACCGUCGGUCUUACCUCACAGAAACUGCAUCCAUUGCUUGCUGUCUUGAAACCAAGAAACUAGAAACUAUGAAUGUUAGAUCUCUUACAGGCUUUGAACAUUGCAGUGGAACAAUUAGAUCUUGAGCUAUAUAUAUAUAUAAAUAAAUAUGAAAGUCUAUACAGGUUUGCUUUGAUGCAUCAUCAUUGGAUUAUGGGGUUGCAAUCAAUGCUAGAAUUGAAAUCAAAUUUACAGGAAAAAUAAUGCAUUCAUUUUAGUUUUUUGGGCUAUGUUUUAGUUCUAAUUAUUUGAUUAGGAGACUAAAUUAUUGAGUGGUAAUUUGCUUGCAUUUUUGCAUAUUGUCGAGGGAUUAACGCAUAGUUAUUUGAAUUAGACGGAUUGAAAAUGAGUUUAACAGAAAUGUUUUAGAUCGAUUGAGCUACGAAUCAGUAUUGAAUCUGGCUAAAAAAUUAAUUGAAGUGGCUUUUAAUAUUAUUAAAUAUUUUUUUAUUUAAAUGAAUAAUCUGAAUCAAACAGACCGAUGAACUGAUGGUCAAACCGAUUCAAGUAUAUAAAUAUUUUUUAAAAUUUUAUUUUAAAAAAUUAAGUAAAUAAUAAUUGGAUUUGAAUAAUUGAUAUUUGAUAAUUAAUAUCUGGAUUCGCUUUGAAUUUUGUUGCAUAUGGUAAUUAUAAUAUCUCAUUUUGAUUACCAUCUGAUAUGCAAAAAGAAAAAAAGUUGGAUAUCCACAAAUAUCUGAAUUUGCAUUAUCCAUUGUAAUCCCUAAAUUUGACCCACUUAAUUUUAACAAUUUGAAGCAAUCUAAACUCAUAAAUAAUUAUAACUUGAAAUAAUUAAAUUUAAAAUGAUCUUAACUCGAAUUGAUUUGAAUAAAUAAUUUGAAAUAACACGAACUCGAAUGUCAAAAUUGAAUAAAAAAACUUAAAUGAAAAAAAUCUAAAAUUAUCUAAACCCAAAAUAAUGCAACUGGCAAGUAUGAAUAACCCAAACCUCGAAUGAUUUAGACCUAAAUAACUUUGACCUGAAAAAACUUAAAUUGAAAUUGACUCGAACCUAAAAUCAAAAUUAUUUGAAUUUAAAAGAUCUAACCUCAAAAUAAUUUGAGAUUGGAACAAUCCAAAACCAAAACCGACACUAAACCUAAAUAAUCCAUACUCACAAUUUCUAAAAAUUUUAGGCAUAAUAAUAAGUUUAGCCCUUAACAUUUAUAUCUUUUGUCAAUCUAAUCCUUAAUUUUUUUAGCUCAAUUUGAUCAUUAAUCUUUUAAAAAGAGUCAAAUCGAUUUUUUUAAUGAAAAUGUUAACUAAAACAUUAAUUUUUAAAGAUGGUAUGGAAACCCUGCGUGGCAAUCUAUAUAUACUUUAUAUUGGUAUGACAUUAUUUGUCUCAUAUGCCACAUUAAUAAAUAAUAUUAAAAUAUUAAAAAAUAAACUUGAAAUACACGUGAAUUACUAUAUAAACUGCUGUGUUUAAAAUUUUAAAUUAUAUUUUCAAUAAAAAAUAACAAUUCAACUCUCUUUAAAAUAUUUAUGAUCAAAAGAAAAUCUAAGUUUAUGAAAAACUUUAACAUGCCUUUUUUUCAAGUUAAAAGAUGCCUUAAAUCCUUGAUGCAACUUUUUCAAGUAUAUUCAUUGUCGAAACUAAUUUUUUUAAAAUCGACUUUUUAUUAAAAAUGAAAAUGGGAGUCACCACCAAUCCUUUUUAGGAGGUGUGAUCGGGUCACCUCGUAAUUUAAUCGUUUUGAUAAGAAGUUUGAUUUAUUAAAACAAUGUUUUUCGGUCUAAAAAAUUCGAAAAAUGGGCUCGAGAUUCGGUUACACACGAGUAAGAAUUAGCACCCUCUUAAUGCCCAAAAUUAGUACCUAGUUGAUUAAUUAAAGCCUUAGUGUUGUGAAUUGAAAAUUUGAAAACAAUUAAAACACGAUCCCUUUAGCACCAAAAUGCCCCAAAAGAAGCCUUUUUUAUUGUAUUUUUUCCUCAACCCCGAUUUAGAACCAAAAUGUCCAAAAAGCCCUUCAAAAUUCAAAAAAAACAAAUGGAACCCUUUGGUUUUGUCUUCGGCGGUCGCAACAAAGGUAAAAAAAAAAACUUGUUUUUGAGUAUAUAUGUAUAUAUGUGCUAUAUUUAAAAUAAAUAUGCAAAAAAAGACGAAAAUAUACCUAUGUUUAAAAAACUAUGAUAUUUUUUAUUUCUUUCUCUUUCGAUUUGCCCCCCCCUUUUUUUUUCUAUUCUCUGUGUAUUUCUUCGUAAAAAAUUACAAUUUGGUGAGGGCUUUUAUAGCCAUAGAUACAUAUGUUUGCUUUUUGCUACUGCUAUUGUUUGUCUUCGCUUCUUUUCCAUUUCUUGCGCUGUUUCUGCUUUAUUUUCUGUCAUUUUUGUAGACAUUGGCAAGGUCAACGGAGGGGAGACGCUCCCGAGGAGUCAAGGGCGACAUUCUUGCUGACGGCGGCGACGGCUUAAUAACUAGAGUUUUUUUUGUUUUUUUCUGAAAUUUUUGAGCUUUAGAGUUUAGGUUAAUUUUGGGCCAUAUUGGAUCAUUGGAAAUUUAGACUGUAAAUUUUUGGACAUUAUUAUUAUUUAUUUCUUGGUUUAUUUUUUAUGGUCCUGGCAAAUUUGAGCAUUUACAUUCAUCAUUUUCCAUCAUCUAUAAUGUGAUCAUACAUAAGAACAGUAGCAGGACAGUGACAAUGAAACACUGCUGACCACGCAUGUCUGUUGCAUGCGCAUUCUAACAUGUUACCCGCAGUUUACGGGUCUAUUAGCCUCGUAAAAAUGACAUACUUUCAUGCGGCUCUUGUAUUAAAAUUAAAUUAUAUUUUAUUUCUUUUAUUUAAUAAAGAUAAAUUAAUCCUUACAUGUUAAAAUAAAAAGUAAAUCGAUUAUUUUAUUAAAAAUUUUAUUCAUUUUUAUCGUUAAAAAUUAAUUCAUAUACAUCAGUAUGAGUAUAAAUAGCACGUUAAGCAUUAUUAUUUCUAUCAAUUACGUCAAAGAAACAAAAUUUUUAAUAAAAAAUAAAUAUAUUUACUCUUUAAUCUAACUUACUAGGUUAAUUUUCUCAUUGCAUUUAACCAUACAACAUUCUACAUUUAUUUGAUUUAAUGAAAAAAGGAAUACAUAUAUUGUAUUUAUAAAAUAAACCCAACUCAAUACACUUGAAAAAUAUUACACCCUCGACAACAUAAAUUUCAAACAUCCAAACAUUCAAAACAUGUUUCUUGACAAACAAGCAAACAUCCAAAAAGACUUGCAUUUUAAUUAGGUUUGAAGAAUUUCAGUUUAAGACCAUCAUUCACUAUGCUCCAAACACCACCAAUGGAGAAAGCUAAGCUAAAAGCAAUACCAAGCCAACCAAGUAUCCAAUUGAAAUACCAAUUGAAGCUAUAUUUAGUCGGUCUUUUUAUUAGAACCCACAUGAAACACGGGUACGCGAACGUAACCGGGAGCGUUAGUCCUCCUAAUAGUCCGGCCAGACUCGAAAGGAACGGCAAUGCUACUCCUAUGAAGAAGUUGACGAAUCCGUAGAAAACUCGAAAACCGGACCGAACCCAGAUUGAACAAGGGCGGUUUGUACGACUUGUGUAUCCAGCUUCGAAGCUAUCGAAAACCGGCAUUGAAUAUAUUUGGAAACUGCUUAGACAAUUGAAUACUACAAGGAGGAAAGCUAGGGCGAGAAGACCUCUUGGAAUGUCGUGACUGUGGAAUCCAUAAAGUGCGUUUAAAAUCCCUCCCGAUGGCAUCUGAACCGACAUAGAGAAUGGCGUUACCUCGAGGUAUCGAAAAAAAGAUAAACUAUACUAAUAGUCAUUCAACUAGUAGUAAAUUUUUUUUUAUCACCCGAAUAUAAAAAGUUACAAAAUGAUCAUCCACAAAUUAAGUUAAUGAUGAUAGCUUUUAAAAUUGGCAUAAUAGCAAUUUUAACCUUUAAUGUUUAUAAAUGGUGUCAAUUUAGUCUUGAUUCUAAAAAGAAUUUUAACCCUCAACAUUUACACAUUGUGCAAUUUAUUUUUAUUUUUUACAAUUUUGCUUUUCUUUAAAAACAAAUUUAUUAGCUAAAAUUUAUUGAAAAUAUACAAAAAUAGAAAAAUCUAAAAAUCCAAGAUCUUAAUUUUUAUUUAUUUUCUCAUUCAUUUAAAACUAACCCUGAAUAUCACAAAGAAAAAUAAAAAUACAAAAAAAAGACCAAAUGGUUAAUUUUUUUGUAGAUUCAAGACUAAAUUGACAUAAUUUAUAAAUAUUGAGGGUUAAAGUUGCUAUUAUGCCAAUUUAAAAGCUGCUACUUUUUAGUUGAAUCACAAAAAAAAAAGUCCCAUUUAGUUACUUACAAGGUUACCGUAAGCCCAAAAACCUCCAAUGGCAACAGGGAAAAGGCACAUUGCAAUGAAGAAAUAAGCAACCUUGGCUCCUCUCCACAUCGGAACAUGAGCCGGAUGUUUAAACGUCGAUGGCAUUGUUGCCUGAAAUGAUAUCGAAAACAUGUUGAACACAAAAGAACUAUUGGUAAAAAGAAAAAACGAGUGACACGUUGUGCAUAUACCUGAAUCUCUAAGACUAAGUUAUGGCCACGGAAUGCAAACGCUACGAUUCCAAGCGCAUUCAUUACCGAGAAGAAAGCAGCGGCAGAAGAUGGCAACGAGAGAGGUUCAUAAGAGAUCAUCGGCGGCCUUUCUUGGCUAACAGAAAGCACCCAAACCAUAGUCGAAUACGUAAUAGCCGUCACGGCUCCGACUAAAGAAAGACCCGCGAUUGAAUUAAGAUUAGGUAGUUGAGACAAGACAAUGCACAACGAAGUGAACACCAAAUACCACUCGACUGUCGUUAAAGGAUUCGACGUACAAAGUGGCCCGCAAACGAUUUGAAAGAACAGUUUCAUAGUUUCCCCUCCAAUUAAAAUCAAAGCUGUUGCAGUUCCUGCUGAUAAAUAAACAGUUGGGAAUAAAGCAAGCCAAACACCUAACCUUUCUCCUACAACAAAAAGAACAUUACACAUUACAUCCGUGUCCGAGUAACAUAACAACAUUAAAGACAUGUUUUUUUAAGCUUAAUGUUCUUACCAAAAGCUGCUUGUGCAAGCUCAACAUAUCUAUUGUACCUCUUUCCUGGUACAGCUUCAUGUAAUUGAACUAGAAUCCAUAAAGUGUAAAGUUGCCAACAAUAUGCUAUGGUUAAAGCCAAUAUACCCCAACUCCUAUACAAACAAAACAAAUCAAGUUGCUGUUACAAUUAUUACAUAUCUGUAAAAUAUUGGAGAAGGGAAGAAUCUCUGUUCCCUCAAAAAAGAAUCCAAUGAAAAUUAAUUUCAGUCCAACCCACAACAAUGGCAGGACAACAUAGUUUAUCUUUUUGCAACAAUGCUUAUCAGCUGAUAUGAUGGUGUACAAAAUCAUGAGCAAUUGAACAUCAUGGAUCAUAAUAAUGAACCAGGAAAAAGCAACACCAAUAGUAAUAAUAAAAAAUGAAGCGCCUUGCAGGCCCCUACCCCACAGCUUAAUCACACAAAAAGAACCAGAAAACAGUAAGUGAACCAUAGAUUUUUUAAGCGUUAAAUCACUAUUUGGAGACUAAAUUUAAAAAAGACUUUCACAUUAGGACCUGAUUUUUUUUUUACUACAACUUAAUCCUUGAACCGUAACUAUUAUCAUAUUGGAACCUAAAUUAGGUCAUUGUCCUCACAUUGGAGCUUAAACUUUUUUUUAUCCAAAUUAGUCCUUGAACUUGGCUUUUGCUCCCAUAUUAGGGCUUGAACUUGAUAAUUGCUCAUACGUUAAAGCUUGAACUUUUGGGUUUUCAAGGGGUUAAGUUGGAUAAAAAAAGUUAAACCGAAAAUAAUUGUCAAAUUCAGGAAUUAACUUGUACUAGAGAAACGAUUGCUAAGUUCAAUGGCUACCUUAGAUAAAACAAAAAAAUUAAACCUUUACUAAGUCCAUGGACUAACUUGAACAGAAAAGAAAGUGAUUUAACCCUUUCCUUAAUCUUCCGUGCUCAAUUCCUUUCCCAACAAUAUCGAUUAACAUGUGUUGUCUACUUUGAAAUGCAACGUGACUUAACACUAAACUGGACCACUAGAUCUUAUCCUCUAUGUUAAUGCUACUUUCAAUUCAAAUCUAUGAUAAACUAUAGAAAAGAUAAUAAUAAAGGAUAAUUUACGACCACCCCACAAUCCCACAUAAACAUUUAGUCAAAUACAAGAGAUUCCAAAGCAGAAAAAGAGUGACAGAUAUUAAUGCAAGAAAUAGAGAUAAACAAGCAAGAAACAUAGCUGAAAAAAUCCUAUAACAUCGCCAUUGUCAUUGCCAUUGCCAGUAUAUAUAAUCUUAAAGCAAAAGGGUUUAAAGAUAUUGAUACCAUCCCAAAAACGCAAAAGCAACAGGCAAAACCAGAGCUUGAAACCCAACACCGGCAUUUAGAUUAUGAAACGCAGCAUAAUGAGCAUUCCCAUUACGAGAUUCGGUAAUAGGAAGCCAAGCAUCUUGCGGGUUAAGCUUAGUAAGGUGACCCACUUCUUCUAAAUAACCUUUCAUGUUGAUUAAAACCCUUUUCAUCGGCGUUCCGAUUGGACUUAAAAACCUUGGUGAAAUAAACGACGUCGGUGUCCAUGCCGAUGAUUUCGUCUCUUUUGAAGCUGGUCGAGGUGACCUUUGACCCGAAGGCGUUUGUAUCUCCGGCGUAGAUACACGUGGUGUCGCCGGAAUCGAUAUUAACUCCGUUUCCGGUCUCUCUUCCAUGACUGUGAGUGAGAAGGUGAAGUGGGGGAGGUGGUGUUUUGUUCGUCGGGUUUUUAUAGUACGUGAAAUAACAUUGGCUAAAAACGAAAAUAAAAAGGAAUAAAAUCUUUUUCAUCAUGGUCGUUGAUUGAUGAUGAUGGAAUAAUGAACGGUUGUGAUAUAGUUUUUGUAUAAAAUGUAGGUGAUAAAUGGAAUCAUAUGGUGAUGCUGGCGUGUAUGACUUUGACUGAUGGGUUGACUGCAAGUAACAUGAUAAUUAAAUAUUAAUUUAUUUUCACUAAAUAAGGUUAAAUCAAUUUUUCGUAAUUUUAAAAAUUAAUUAAUGAAUUUUUGUUUUUCGAAAUUUAAUUUUUUUACCUUUUUAGAUAUCAAAAUUUUUAUUUAAUUAUUAAUAUUAUUAAAAUUAUUUUAUUAAAUUUAAAUUUAUUACUACAUAUUUUUUUAGUUGAAUUGCUAUUAAAUGAGCAUUUUUUAUUAUUUUAAAAUGUCACAAACUAAUUUAACAAAAAGAAAAUUAACAGAGUUAAUUGAACUUAAAUAUUGAAAUUUAAAAUUAAAUUAUUAAAAAUAAAAAUAUAUGAACUAAAUUAUAAAAUUGUAAAAAGCAUAGGGACCUAUGGGAAAAUGUUGUAGCUUCCAAUGGUGUUUGUACGCGCGUAUUACGGUUGUGGUGGGACAGGGAAGAAUCACGCGAUGUCGGGGCGCGUUACAAAAGAAAGUAACUUUGUCUUAAAACUUUGAGGCAACUUAGGCUAGGCGUGAAAUUCUAUUGGUCAAAUUCUGCUAUCAGACCCUGUAUUUUGUGAAACUUGUGGAUUCAGUACCUGUAUUUUAAUUUGAUCAAUUUUAGUAACUCAAUGGUAACAACUAAAUUUGUUUGGUUAAAUUAUGUUAUUUGUCCUAUAUUAUGCGUAAAGUUAUAGAUUUAGUCUACAUUCACCAAUUAAAUUAUUUUUAGUGGCUAUAUUUUUUUAAUUUAAAAAUAUUAGUCUUAAUGCAAACGCGAUCCUUAAAUCUAUUAACUAACUUUUUAUGAGUAAUAUAUGUGAAAAUAACAAACUGACUUAGCAUUAUACUUAUGAUAAUAUGUUUGACGAUCAAAUUUUAACGAUAACAGAAUUUACCUUAAUGGAUUUAAUAGUUAUCAUUUGGUUAGGACUAAAAUUUUCAAAUUCUAAAAGUAUAGGAGUGAAGAUGAUCAAAUUAAAGUAUAGAUAUUAAAUUAAUAAUUUAUACAAAAUACAGGGUCUAAUAACAGAAUUUGACCAAGUCUAUUUGGGGUAGCACAGUCGCAGCCCUUUUUAAGUUCACAAGCUGUAAGCAAAAGACACUGUAUGUUUUGACUAAGAUACAAAUUCUCUUGUCCUAAAAUCAUUUUCAGUUUUAACUAACAAAAUCCCUGUCUUUUGCUUAAUUUACUACUCAUUUUCCACACGUCUUAUUCCAAAAUAUUUUAUUAUUAUUUAAAUUAAUUUAAAAAAUUUUAUUUAAGCCCGACCUAAGUCGGAUCUAGUCUAUCGAAUCAAUUAUGUUAUUUUUGUAUUCUUUCUUAGAUUAUUCUAAUUUUAAGUCUCGUUACAUGUAGUUCUAUUUAAUUUUUUUAAAUUUAAAUUUAGAAAUAUUUCGAUUUUUAGUUCAAAGUGAUUUUAUGUUGAGUUGAAUUUAAUUUUAGUUGAUCGGAUAUGUAUUACUUGUAAUCUUUACCAUACUUUUACAUAUAAAUUCUUUAAAAAUAUAUAUUAAUUAAAAUUAUAUUAUUAAUAUGUUUAAGUUAUCAAAAUCAUUUGAAAAUCCGAUUAAUUACGUUGGAGCGACAAUAAAUUUAUAUGUUAAUCAAAUAUUUAAAAUUAUUUUUUUAAAAUCAUAUUAACAAUUGGGAAAAAGUGUUUAUGUUAUGAAAAAUUAUAUAUAAUCACGUAACAUUUUAAAUGAAAAAUUAAUUAUAUUAAUUAAUAAAUCAAAUCAUGUUAAAAUUAAAAUAUAAAAAUUAAAUCUCGAAAACGAUUUUCUUUAAAAUAAUUAUUACUUUCAUCAUAAAAAAAAUCAUUUAUGGUUCUCGAAGAGAGCGUGAGGAAAUGGAAAGUGGUCUAUUUACUGAGCACAGUCAUCGAUGUUUGUGCGACGGUAACUUUGAAAAAACAAAAAAAAAAAUGGGAAUACGAGACCAAAGCUGUCAGAUUUUACCGACAUAACCACGUGCCACCGUCUCGCGUGGCGUUGCUCCAAAAAUGUCUUACCCUUUUGAUAAUUACAUCACCGCGCGUGACCACUGUUAAAAAAACUUUUUUUUUUGGGAUAAAAAUCAAAUUUUCUUUUUAUCCUUAAGAGUAGAGCACUACUAAUUAUUGUAAAACAGCAUGCUUAAUUAUGUUUUUAUGGUAAGCAUGCGCAUAUUAGCCUUAUUAGCAAUCAUCCAAUUUUUUAAAAAAAUUUGUCACAUAGUAAAUAACUUUAUAUAUCAUAUAAAUAUUUUUUUGGGGUAGAUUACAAGAGAAUGACAAAACUCUAACAACAACGCGACUAGUACGACUCGAAUCCAGAUCAUACUUGGGACGGUAAAUUUCUUGAUCAUUAGUCCAACACACAAAUAUUUUUGAGUAUUUUCGAAUUUAAAUCAAGUGAAUUUGGAUUGUUAAUUUUAUAGGUGAUUAAGGGUAAUUCACGUGCCAUUGAGUAUGAAUUCGCCUGCAUGAUGGCGCGAAUUCAUAUAAAUAAAUUGUAUAAUUUAACUAUUAAAAUAAAAAAGAUCAAAUUAGAAAUGACUAACAUCGUAACAAAAUUCAAACUCGAAUAGCUUAAAAUAUUAAUCCGUAGCAUUUGACUUUGUUAUAUGAAAGUGGUAUAGGAUGGCAAACAUAUUCAAAGAUGCUUGCUAUUUGACUUUGCUACAUUAUUUUUGGACAUUAUUAUGUACUUUAAAUCCAUUUUGCAUUUUAACACUGUCCAAGUCAAAUCCCAAUCCAUACUAUUUCUUUAGAAUUGUCAAAUAAAUUAUAUCCAUUUUCAACUUAUGACAAUGCUUGGUAAAAUUGAAUAUUCCUUGUUAAUUUUGAGAGAGAAAAAAAUGAAAAUUAUUCAUAUAUAAUAUCAAUAUGUCAAAUAGAUUAUUCAUGGACCCGCAUUAUCUUAAAAAAACAUAUGAAUUUGUGUAGGUGGGUAUUCGAUUGAAUCAAGUCCAAUUGAGUGAAAAAAAAUUUCAAGUUAAUCGAGUUGACGAGUUAUAUUUUAUCAUCCUAACUCGAUUUGAAUUUUUUUCGAAUCGAAUCAAGUGAAAUAAAAUUCAAGUCCAGUCAAAUUGAGUGAAUUUAUUCGAGUUAAAUUAAAAAAUUAAAUAUGUCAAAUUAAAUUCUUGUUGCAAUAUAACUAAUUUCAUUUAGAGCGUGUAAAUUUGAAACCAUAUAUAUUGGAAAAAAAAUUCAAAGCAAAAUAAUAAAAGACUUUAGUAUGGUAAGCUUGAAUCAUUAAUUUAUUUAUUUAGGUUCCUAAAUUUAUUGUUUUAGAAAAAUUUUAAAGUUUUAAUUUUCUUUAUAUAUUCUUUAGAUUUUUUUAAAAUUUGUAAUUUUUAAAAAAUAUAAAUUUUGAAAUUUUUAUAAAUAUUUUUAAUUUUAAAAAUUAUUUUGUAGUUUUUGUUGAAAGAGAGACCAAUUUGCUCAUUUUCAAAAUUGACAGGGACCAAAAGGGUAUUUACACCAAUUUGUUAUUCAAAUUGUAAAAGUUAACUUGACUCGAACUCGAAUUACUUAUUCGAGUUUACUCAAAUAACUCAAUUUGAUUUUUUUUUUCUAUUUUUCAAAUUGAAUCAAAUUUUCCUCACCUUUAGGUUUGUCUAUUGUUUAUACCUAUUCAAUAAUUCAUCCUCGCAAUAUAUAAAGUUCAUAUAGUAAUUAGAUUCAUUUAGUCAAAUGAAGCUUACUUAAACAAUAUCAUAUAUAACAUAAUUUUAUUUCAUUAACCUUCGAAUGAUUACAAUCUCAUCGUAUGAUAUCACAUGAUUUCAAUAUCAACCUUCUAGACUAAUCACAUCAAGUCACCUUUAUUUAAAUUCGGGGUCCGCAGUAGGGGAUUCGUAGGAGCCCAUCCCCUUAAGAUAAUAAAUUUAAAUUCUAAAUAAUUAAAAUUUUUAAAAUUUUAAAUUAAUAUAUGAUAAAAUUACACAUUUACCCAAAAAUAUUUCUCACUUCACCUCUACCUUUUUCAAUACAACCAUGUGAAGCAUUUACAAAUAUCAAAUAUUGUAUCAAAAUGUUUAAAUAUAAAAGCAUUGUUUAUUUAAUUUUAAAAAAUUGUUUUACUUUGAAUAUUAUUUUAUAUUUUUUAUUUAGUUAAAUAUAAAUAUUUUUAAUUACUAAAAGCUGGUCAAAGGUUCUAUUGAAGUGUUUAAUAGUAUUAUUAAUAUUUCUUGAUAGGUGAAUAAUAAAUGCUUUUAAAGUUGAUGUUAGUAUUAAAUUAUUAGUAGUUAAAAGACAUCAAGCAUGGAUUUCUAACUAAAUUAAUAAUAUUAAAAACAUCAAACAACAAAGUCGAUUGGUAUGAGUAUUGUUGUCAAUACAGGAGGAUGUAAGUUCGAGUGUAUUAAAGCCCAUUAUCUUCUUAUUUAUGGGUUGGGGAGAGACUAUUGGUAGUUCCAGUUAUUGUGUCAAAAAAUAGAACAAAUGUGACCAAAACCUAUAAUAAGAUUGAUAACAAUAAUAAAACCAAUAAACUACAAUCAAUCUGUGUUAAAUUUUCUCUCUUAAAGCUUAAGCUUAUUUUGACUUAUCAACUUAAACCAAUGUGCUAAAAAGAAGUCAACAAAUGAUUUUCAAUAAACCUUUAAUGGUAUUUGGAAUGAUUGAGAUUUCGAGUAUUUAAGUUUAAGUCACACUUAAAGAUUUAAAUAUGAUGCAUUUUGAUAUGAUUUGAUAAAGUUAUUUUUUGGGUAAAUUAUCUAGUUGGUCACCUAAUUUUUAGGGUGUUUUCAUUUCGAGUAACAAAAAAUAAAUCUUUGUAAAUUUGUUACUCAACUUUUAGGGUGUUUUCAUUUUAGUCUGUAAUGGCCCAAAUUUGAGGUUAUCGGAACAGUGGUUUCGGAACCACAAAUCCAAUGAGAAAAAUUUUAUUUUUCUUAUAUUUUUAUGGUCUACAAUUUCACAAAAUGAUUUUUUGAAAAUUUCGUUCGAAAAUUUCGACGUUUGGGCACUCAAUUUAGUCAAAAGGACUAAAUUGUAAAAAGUGCAAAAGUUGAAUUCUACAUGUUAGAGGUGUCCAAUUGUUAUGAAACUUUAAAUUGGAGGUCCUUAUAUGGUAAUUAUACCAUUGGUAACUUGGUAGACAAAAAUGGACAUGAGAUAAGUGAAAUAGAAAAUUUUUAAGUUAGGGGCAAUUUGGUAAUCUAGUAAUUAAAAUGAAUUAAAAGGGAAAAAGAUGGCAAAAAUCAUCAUCUUCUUCAUAUGAACGAAAUCAGCAAGGGGGGAAGCCAUAGUUAGGGUUUUCAAGCUUCCAAGCUCCAUAGUAAGUGAUCCCAAGCCCCGUUUUUAAUGUUCUUUACGUUUUUGAGAUCCCGGUAGCUUAAUUUAGCUUAUUCUAGCAAUAAUUUAACCUAGGGUUUAUAUUUGGAAAAAUACCCAUAGGUGAAAAGUGUUUAUUUUGAUGUUUUAUAAUAGAAUAUGAAGCUAGAAAUUAUGUUAAACAACUUUUGCUAAGCGAUUUUAAGUGAAAACGAGUAAAACGACAUAAUCGGUAAAAAUACCUAAUGUUCAUAAGUACAUGUUAGAGUGGAAAUUUGAUGUUGCCAUAGAAGGGAAAAAUGUUCAGAAUGUUAUAAAACAUAAGAAUAAGAGAUGAAGUUUAAUUUCCGAGCCUUGGGGCAAAAAUGUAAUUAUGUAAAAGUUUAGGGGCAAAAUUGUAAUUUUGAAAAAGUUAGAGUCGAGGGCUGUUUUGAUGAAUGUGAUUAUUAAAUAAGUUAAAUUUACUAUUUUAGAUCAAGAAGUACGAAACUCGAGGUUAGCAAAGGGAAGAAUAAAGUUGAAGACUAAGUUGGUGAAUUUGGCUAUAAUUGGUAUCGAGGUAAGUUUACGGUAAAUAAAUGCAAUAUUUCAAUAUUUAUUAUUAAUGCUGUUAAUUUCCAGCAAUUAUGAAUUUAUUUUAUGAAUUUAUUUGAUGAUGAUCUAAGCAUGAAAUGAUAGAGAAUUAAAAUUAAAAAGUCCCGUUGAUACAUAAGGAUGGUACUGGAUACGAAUGUCAUGACAUUUGGGUAAAGAGGUCCCAUGUAAGACCAUGUCUGGGACAUGGCAUUGGCACCGAGAUGAGAGGUCCCAUGUAAGACCAUGUCUGGGACAUGGCGUUGGCACCGAGAUGAGAGGUCCCCUAUAAGACCAUGUCUGGGACAUGGCAUGGGCACCAACAUGAGAACAUCCCAUGUAAGACCAUGUCUGGGACAUGGCUUUGGCAUGUUAUUAUUAGAAGAGACCCGAGUAUCCUUAUUAUUCCAAUGUAGCUCAACGGGCUUGUAAAUGAAUCAUGUUCAUGAAAGUUCAGUUUAAAGCAUAAAUGGCAAGCUCAGGUAAGUUGUGAGACUUAAGAACUUAUUAUACUAUCAAUUGAUGUUCAACGAUGCAGCAAUGAUUGAGUAAGUUAUGCACACAAGUAUUCUAAGUAAACAAGUAAGAGAACUAGUAUGAGAUUAAUUAAAGAGUAAACUAGAGAUAUAGACAUUGAGUUUAAUUAUUUAAGUUAAAUAUUGUUAUUUAUUUGCUAGUAAACUUACUAAGCUUUAUGCUUACUUCUUUUAUUUCUCUUUCUCUUAUAGUAUUGCAAAGCUACUUAAAGGAUCCUAAAGAAUUCGGAGAUCGUCCACACUAUCAACUACAACUGCUCGGUAUUUUAUAUCGAAACACGUUUGAGUUAUGGCAUGUAUAGGGAUUUAGUUAUUUUGUAUGUUUGUAAUGAUGAUUUUGCUAAUGAGUGAUGUGUAAGUAUUUGAUGAUGUAUGGUUAUUAAAAUGAUUAAGGAUGAAGGUGUUUGUUGUUAUGAAAGAUUAGGUGAUAAAUUAUGCAUGGAAAUCAUGAAAGGAUAAAAUUUUGCAAAGAAACAGAAUUCAGGCAGCACAGUGACGUGAAUUUGAAAAAUCACCCAAGAUAGUAUAAAAUGAAUUAGAGGGUGAAUGAUAUAUGGAAUUAAAGCUUGUUGAGUCUAUUUUCAUGGAAAAAUAACGGUGUAGAAAAAGGAAAUUUAUAUUUUAAGAUAUGUGAAUUUUAGUAAGAUAGGGUCAGAACUGUUUUUGGAGUCCCCUGUUCUGAGUUUAGAAAAUAAUUACAAAUUGUACAAAAAUGGUUAUGAGUUGAAAUUUACAUGCUUAGAUUUCUUAAUGAGUCUAUUUUCUGUAGAAACAAGUAAGAACUUCAUAUGAAAAUCCUAUAGUGAGAAAACUUAUUUUUAGUGACUAGAGGUCAGGGCAGUCAGGUGGUGAAACAGGGGAGACUUUAACUAAUAAACUGUACUAAUUUGAUGAACCAAAAAUUCUAAAAAUUUUAUGGUGAGUAGAUAUAUGAGUCUAGUUUCAGAGAAAAUUUACGGAAUUAAAUUUCGAGUUCUGUAUCUCAAGUUAUAAUUAAUUUAGUAACUGCUGCGCGAUUGGACAGAUUUGCUGCGAAUAAUGAAAUAAAUUUUCAAACCUAGUUUUUAUGCUCCGAAUUGGUAAGAUAAGCUAAGUAAUGCCUCGUGCUCGACUCCGGAAAUGGUCUCGGGUAAGGGGUGUUACAUAGUCACUCAAUCGUUAAAUCCCUCCCUAGCGGUAGUUAACUUGUACAUGUCAUAUCAUGUUCACACUUUCAUUUUGGUCACCCAACUUCCAAGUCACUUUAAUUUUAGUCACCUAAAAAAUAUUCUUUUUAAAGUAUUGAUUGAGGUAAAAAAAAUUAAGAAUUAAAGUGAAAAAGCAGUAGUAACUAAAAUAUUGCAUUAAAAAAUUGAGUUUCAUGUACAAUUAUUAAAUAUGAUUUAUUUGAGUUGAUUUUAAUCUAGAAACACAAAAUAAAAUUUUAAGAUUUCAAAGGAGACUAAAUUAAUUAAUUAAAUUAAUUUCAAUAUUAUGGUAAUAAAUCGGUUGACACUGUCAAGAGAUAAAAAAAUUUUAUCAAUAACUUAUUUAAUUGGUUUUGAUAUUUUAAAAUUUAAAAUUUAAAUAUUUAAAUAAAAAAGAAGUUUAGAACUUUCUGCAAAUGAGUAAACAAUUACAGUUUGGCAAAUUUCAAAGCAUUAUUUUAGUUCCUACCACCUUUUCAUUUUAAUUUUUAAUGUUUUUUUUAUCCCAAUCAAUAUUAAAAAAAGAUAUUUUUUGGGUGACCAAAAUGAAAGCAACCUAGAAGUUGGGUGACUAAAAUGAAAAUGUGAACUAUCGUUAAAGAUUUAACGGUUGGAUGACUAAAAUAAAAGUUUCUUAAAAGUUGAGUGAUGAAAUUGUAAGAAUUCCAUUUUGAGUGACCAAAACAAAAGCGUUCUAAAAGUUGAAUGACCAACUAAGUAGUUUAACCUUUUUUUUAAAAAUCACUCAACUUGCUACGCCUAGUAUAAUUACCAAAAUACCUUUAUAUAUAAUAUUAGUAGGGUGGAACUAGAAAAUUGUUUAGGGGCAAAAAUGAAUAAUUCUUUUUGGAAGGUGAAAGUGUAUAUAAUUUCCUAAAAAUUAAACGGAUCAAUAAAUAUAUUUUAUUUUAUAUUGUUGGAGCCAAGGCCAAUAUCAUUAAAAUUAAUUAUUCUAUUUUGAUAAAAAAAUUAAAAAUAAAAAUUGUGACACAUUAGGUUGGUUUGAAAUCAAAAUCGAGUAUAAUUUUAAUUUUUGAGUCGAGUUCAAGACGAAUAAAUUAAUAUUUAAUUUUAAAUUAGAUCGGAGUCGGACUCGGACAAAAAAUGGUCUUGUCUUAUUUUCAUAUUUAGUCAAAUCAAUAAAAUAAUUAAUUAAAAAUUGUUGUAAUUUGGAAGACAAAAAAAACCAACACUUAAACAAAUGAUUCCUUAAUUAUUAAGACGUGGUCAACUUAUUUAUGGCUGAUGUAUGCGCUUACGUCACUCACUAAAAAGUGGGUGUUCGCUAAAACAAUUUUUUUAUAAUAUAUCCAAACACUCCCCUUUCUUUUCUAUACUUUUCAAUUUCAUCCAAUUUCUCAAUACACUGUCUCUUCUCUUCAACAUCUCGAGUUAUUGUCAUGCCAUUUGAUCAAAAGUAAUGUUCAAACUUCAAAUAUUUAAUCCAGAGUUUUUAUUUUGAGGUAUUUAUAUAUAAAGAAUGGCAUAUUCCAAGGGCUAAAUAUGUAUUUAAUCUAAUUAAUGUUUAAAAUAUAAAAAUUUUAAUUGUUUUUGUAUUUUUCUUUUAUGUUUUUAGUUAUUUUUUGGGUAAACUACAAGGUAAAUAAAUUAUUGAUAAAUUUACGUUUUGACUAUUCAAUUUUAGAAAGUUACAAAAUGGUCAUUGAAUUAUUAAAAAAAAAAAUAUUCAAGCAUUGAGCUAUUACGUAUAUAUUUUUUAAGUCUAGCUAGCGAGCUUCAAGUGACAAUAAGUUGAAUAACAUACAUUGAAUCUAAGUUGAUCUGACAGUCAGUGUUGAAUAUCGAAGAAGAUAGCUGCUUGGAUUUUGGUUCAUAGAUUCGUGACAUUCAAAUAUAUGUCACAAAAAAAUACUGAACUAUAGAAGAGAAUGAAAAUAAUAACUUUUGACUAGUACAAAUGGUGUGAAUCGAGAAAGCUAAAUGAUAAUGAUUUUAAUAAUUAAGUAACUUAAAUAAAAAAAAUUAAAUAAUUUAAUAAUAAAUUUGUAAUUUUUUAAAUUUACCCUAUAGUUUACUAUUAGAAAUGAGAUUUGUUUUGAGGAAGGAAUCUUGCAAGAAGCCGCCACGUCUUUCUCAUUAGCGUUAUUCCGAGAAAAAGAGGAAAAGGAAAACCCGAAAAUGCCCAUUAGUAUUCAAAGUCAAACUAAGGAAUAGAAAGAUUGAAAAUACAAAAAUACCCUCCAUCUUGCUACAAUUUUACACAAUCAAACCAUAAAGCAACCAUAUCCUUUAUUUUUGUAUUUUUUUAAUCUUUCAUUAAUUUUCCGAUAUUAAGUAAAUUGGUACAUUUAAAAAAAUAAUCUUUAUCAAUUUAAUCAAUAAGCAACUAAAUAUGAUUAAUCAGUUUAUUUUAUUUUUUAUUAGUAUAAUGAUAAAUUUAGUCCUCAAUAUUUAUACUUUUAUCAAUUUGGUCUUGAAUCUAAAAAAUUAAAUAAAUUUAGUUAUCAGCAUUUACAUAUUCCACUAAUUAGUCUUGAUUCUAAAUAAAUUCGAUUGACACCAUCAUUGUUACAACAAUAUAAAGGGUCAUGAGAUCAAGCACGCUUAAGCGUGUAAUAUCCUUUCGAUUUAAUUGAUUUGAGGAUUUAUAAGUAACUUUUAAAAUAUCUCUCAAACUUUUGAUGGUAUUAAAUCUAAGUUGAAUUCGAAUUUAGAGUUGAAACUCUACCUAACAUUGAAUCCCCUCAAUUUUAUAAACAUUAAUUAAGAAAAAUUAAGAUAUUUAUUUAUCGUAAUUAAAAAAAUUCUCAAAUAAGAAAAUUAAAUUAUACGACACUCGCUUUGUGAGUGUAGAAAAAAAUUAUAUAAAAUUAAUACCAACAAUCAAACAUGCUAAUAUGUAUCAUCAUCGUCAUCAUUAUUAUAAAAACGAUACCAACCUGAGCAAGAUUUUUGGAUUGAGGACUGGUUGAUAUACCGGCCCAAAAGAAAAAAGGUUAAAUCAAUUAACUUGUAGACUAAUAUAGACAGAUCAAAUUUAACUAAAAAUGAUUAAAUCGAGUUUUAUUUUUACGUUGGAACCGAAAGCUGGUGGCGUGACUUGGUCGGUCCGACCACCGGCCGACGACAAAAAUAAAAAUCCCUUUUUAAAAAUGAUAAAUUGGGCAAUUUCGUAAAUAUGGCAAAAAACUCUGUCCAUUAUUGAAGUGUAAAAAGAACCCGCCGUCUAUUAUAAACCCCUAACCUUUCUCGUUUUUGACGUUAUUGAAGUUUCCCUCCCAAACAUCCUAAAUCUCGUCUUCGUCGCCGCCGCCGCCGCCGCCGCCGCCGACGCCGAAACGCCGCACUCUGCAGCCGCUUGCCCGGGAACGCACCCAAUUUCAAAAAAUGGCUUCCGUUUCUCAUCCCUUGGCCUAACCAAACUCCUCGAUUCCCCGUUCUCGUCUCUCCUUCACUGAUUCCAUCCUCGAAAAUGGCUUUCAUUUGCUUUUAGGGUUUGUAAAAUCAAACCCAUUAGUUUCCGAACCCAAUCUGUACCAUUUAUUGUUCUACUUUAUCCAAUUCAUCAAUAUGGCUAUCCGUUUCACCGUCAGUUUCUCGGGCUACGUCGCCCAAAACUUAGCCUCCACCGCCGGUUCCCGUCUCGGUUCUUGCCCUUCCCGGUCAGUCCACGAAUGCUGGCUCCGGUCUCGUUUCCUUUCCCCCAAACAAAAAUCCGACGUCGACCCAUCCCCUCCUCGUACCUACCACGCCACCGCCGCAGCCGACCUCCGCCGCCCGCGGUCGACCAUGUGUUCGACCCUAGCUGCUGAAUUCCUCAAAGACGGUUACAAUAACCCAAUCGUCGUUGCUUUGAUCUCGUUAAUGAAGUCAACGGCUUACAGCUCUUGUUCCUCAUCUACCAGUAUGGGGAUCUUACCAUUCAAAGUCGCUUCAAUUAUCCCUUUCCUUCAAGGUUCCAAAUGGAUGCAAUGUAACGAAUCCCCUCCGGUCGGACCGGAGAGUACCGAGGUGGAUAAAGGAGGAACAAACGACGAUGGUAAUCAAAGCUUAACCUUGGAAUUAGAUCCCAAAUCCUUUGUUAAAUCCAGUUGGAUUACAAAGAUGUUCAAUUCACGAUCCGAAGAUGCCAAGGCAGCUUUCACUGCCGUCACCGUUAGUAUACUUUUCCGAUCAUUUUUAGCUGAGCCAAGAUCGAUUCCUUCAUCUUCUAUGUACCCUACACUGGAUGUUGGUGACCGCAUUUUGGCUGAGAAAGUAUCUCCUUUUCUCCAAAAUCACUUCUAUAGAACACUAAAAUUUAAGAUUGUAUGCUUAAUUUUGUUUCUUUUUUAAUUAUGAACAGGUUUCAUAUUUCUUUAGAGAACCUGAAGUUUCAGAUAUUGUCAUAUUCACGGCACCUCCCAUUUUGCAGGUACGUCUCAAAAUCUGAAAAUUCAUUGCCUUAUAAUUUGUAGAACUUGUAGUAAUGGGCAUUCGCCCGGUAAUCCUCUAAUUAUCUUAAAACCGAUAGGCUAUAUGAGUCAGGAUGGAUAUAGGUAUCGGCUUUUGGUUUAAUCUACUGACUAAAUUUGUGGUCAAAUUGGUUUGGCUCAAUUUGGUUUAUAUGCUUAACCUUUUCUUUUGCACUUCCCUUGCAUCAUCUUAUAGAUUAUAAUUGCUUAUUAUCAUCUUAAAAUUGAUUGAACCAAUAGACUGUUUGGGUCAGGAUGGAUAUAGGUACUGGCUUUCGGUUUAGCUUAGGUUUCAAAAGUGAAAAUUGACUGACUAAAUCUACUUAAACCGAACUCCUUAAUCAACUAAACUGAAAAUUUUGGUCAAAUUGGUUUGGUUCAGUUCGGUUUAUAUGCUUAACCCAUUGGUUUUGCAUUUCCCUUGCAUCAUUCUAUAGAUUAUAAUUGGUGACAGUGUUUACUUCAAUAUGUAGGAAAUCGGGUACAGUUCAGGUGAUGUGUUUAUAAAAAGGAUAGUUGCAAAGGCCGGGGACUGCGUCGAAGUAAGCUCUUUAUUAAGAUCUUUGAAAUUCAUUCUCUUUAACAUAUGAGAUCUCUUUGUCCCUCUUCAUUUAUUUCACUUUUUGCCCUUUAUCCCUUAUCUGCAAAAUGCAUGAUUGUUAAUGAUUUUCUAAUAGGCUCGUGAUGGGAAACUGUUGAUAAAUGGUAUUGAACAAGAUGAAGAUUUUGUUCUAGAGCCUUUGGGUUACGAAAUGGAACCAUUGGUUAGUUUCUCACUUAUGAUUGUAUAUUCUGCAAAUUAUUCAUAUCCAUAUGUUUCUCUUGUUCUUUGUCAUGGUUUUGUUACACAGUCCUUGAGUUGAUGCCGUUGGUUAAGCCGUUGGUUAAACAGUGUUUUAUGGUCUCUUGUGUGUGGCUGGCUUCCGCAGGUUGUGCCAGAAGGUUACGUUUUCGUGUUGGGAGAUAAUCGUAACAAAAGUUUCGAUUCCCAUGAUUGGUAAUCCUAACAUUUCUUACCACUAAUAACCAUUUUCAGCAAUGCGUUGGGAAGGAUUAUAAUGUCAUGUUUUGAAUUAUCUUCUUCCACAGGGGCCCACUUCCCAUCGAUAACAUUAUCGGGAGAUCAGUAUUCCGCUAUUGGCCUCCAUCCAAGGUUUCAGAUACCAUACAUUAUACACAUGUUGGGAAAGAUGCUGUAGCAGUUUCUUGACAUCUGAGAUAACUUAAAAAAGACUCGGUACUUACUCGGCUCAUGUCGAGCAUCUUCAAAUACCCAUCAGACACGGAAUAGGCGAGAUUCGGCAGAAUCAAGAGAAGAAAAAAUCCGGGUUCAUCUCUGUUUCCUGAAAAAAGCCUUUUUUUGUUGCUUAUUUCAUGCUAGAAAGUGGGGGCUGCCCUUACGAAAAUGGUUGAAUUGAAGAGAUCUUUCAAGGUUGGUUGAUAAGAAAGAUGCUAGGAUUGUGUAAACAUGAAGCAGGUGGAUUAUAUCAGAUUUCAUGGCUGGAAGAAAGAGGAACUUUGAGGGCUAACAUUUGGAAUCAAGCAAAUGAGGUGUUGAAAGUGGAAAAAGGAGGCUGUUGAAUUUUUAUUACAACCAUGCUUUUGAGAUCUUUUGAAUCUGAAUUAUCUUUUUCUAAUAUUCGUAUGUAUUGGUGUUGGUACUUGUUGUUUCAUACUUUUGCGUGUUCCAUUGUUUGAAACUUUCAUUUUCCCAAUGCAAUUCAUUCAAGUGUGGUAUAAUUCUGGUUCUUGUUCUCUUCUUCUUUUUCUUUGCAUUUUCAGUUUAAGUGUUAGAUGAAACAUUCAGAUUUAAUUUUAUGUUUAUUAUUAUUGAAUAAAAUUUUGGAUUUGUUAAGUUUAACCUGAUUUUGAAAAUUUGAUCUACUCAAAAUAACUUGAAAAAAUAGAAAAAACUUGUCAUCUUGUCUGAUCUUCGUUAAUUCGUAGUUACAAUCAAUACAUUAUAUAACUAUAAUUAAAAUAUAUUUCAACAUGACCCAUUUAUGUUGAAACCUAAUACCAAAGUAAAAUUAAAACUACAAGUAUAAAUGCGCAUUCAAAAUCGUAAUUUUCUUUUUUGGAAAAUAAAAUUAUUUCCAAUUUUCAUCUUCACAUCCUCUUGCUUAACAUUAACAUGUGAAGAUGAUUAUAUUUUUAUUAGGCAUAAUAAUUUUUUUUACCCUCUAACUCUAAAAAAAAUUUAUUUUAGCAUUUCAUUUAAUUUUCGUCCUCUUUAAUUUUUAAACUUGUAUUAUUUGUCAAAUCACCCUAAAAUGAUAAAAAAAUUAGCGCGAUAGCCACGUGUCUACCAUGUCAGCAAUUAAUUAAAAUUUUAAAAAUUAACAUACUAAUAUAUUUUUAUAAAUUUUUAUAAUUUUUUUGAAUUUUUAAUUUUAAAAAAUUAAGUAGUUAUUGAUGUGGCAUUCACAUUGCAAUACGUACGUAUGUCAUAUCAAUAAAGUUAAAAAAAUAUUAAAUUUUUCGUCUAUUUUAAGACAAUUGAACAAACAACACAAAUUAAAAGUAAAAAAAAAAACGAAAAUUAAAUUUUUUAUAUAAAAUUAGAUGUCGAAAUAAAUAUUUAUACUUUUUUAUUAUUCUAAUAAGAUGAUAUUUUCUUGUUGACCACACACCGUCGUGAGGGCAUGCUUAUACGCAUGGAAAACUGGAAAUUUCACGUGUAAUUGCAGUUUAGCCGCAUGCAUCUCCCACCUAUCCAUUAGAGAAAUUAUUUUAUGCAUCAUUUUUACCAUAUCAUGUAUAGUUUUUAUCAAUUAAAAAAAACACAUCAUUAUUAUUCUUUUAUAUUUAUAAAUAAUUUAUUUUUAUAAAACAUGAUAUAUCUAAAUUAUUAAAAAAAUACACGAGGGCAGUUUUCAAAGUCAACUACUUGAGUCAACUAUUAUAUAUAUUUUUUUAAUUUUAGGUUAAAUUUUAAUAUUUAUAUUUUUAAAAAUUUUAAAUCUUAAUUCUUGUUAAAUUCAUUAAGUUAAUUUUUUUUAAAUCUUAUGCGUCGACCAUAUUUGCACUUUGUAAUAUCAUGUCAAUUGAUAUGAGUCACAAAAGCCCAAAUUCUUGAAGGCGAGGCCCAAUAAGUAAAUUCCCAGCCCAAUCAAGAAAUUCAUACAUACUUAGUUGAAAAUCAGACCAAAUUGUCAAAGUGGCCCAAGUUAUAAAGUUUUAUUUUUAUUUAUUUAUUUAUUUAUUUACUUAGUUUAUGUAAUGGCCCAAAUUCAAAAUUAUCGGAAUAGUGGUUUCGUAACCACAAAUCCGAUUUAAAGAGAAAUUUAUUUUAAUAUUUUUGCAUGAAUAUUGAUAUGAUAGGAAAAAUCGUAUGAAAAUAUCGAUAGAAAAAUUUUACUGAUUAAGUGGUUAGUUAUAAAAAGAAAUUAUUGAAGGAAUUAGGUAAAAAUAAGAUAUCGAGACUUCGAUCUAGUAAAACCGAGUCAAAAAUAUUUUUAUAAAUAUUUAUGAAGUGUUAGUAAUAUGGUAUUAAAAUUUCGUUAGAAAAUAUUAAUGUUUGGGUAGUCAAUUAAGUGAAAAGGAUUAAAUUGAAAAAAUGUAAAAGUUACUAGAGGGAUUAAAUAGCUCAAUUGUGAAAUGAGGAGGGACAUAAAUUGAAAAUAACCCCAAAAGGAGAUAUUUUGGGCGGCAUACGCUGAGAAAAAUAAGGAGAAUUGAAGAAAUAACGGUAAAAUUGGAAUAUUACAACUUUUGCUUUAAAAGUUAGGACUAAAGUGGAAUUAUCUAGAUUUCUCUUUAAUUUUCUGCACUCUCAUCAGCCAAAAACGUCCUAAGGGUUUAUUCAAGCUGGUUUUUCAUAAUUUUUGCACCAAGUGAGUUAAUUCUUACCUUUUUCUUGUAAUUUUUGUGUUUCUAAGACUUUUACAACUAGGUCCUAUUACUAAAUUCAUUAGCUUUUGAUUUUAUGAAUGAAAAUGAAAGUUUCUAUGAAUAUGUGCUGGAAUUUUAUGAUGAAAUAGCAUGAAAUUGAAGCUUUAAAUUGUCUAUGAGAUGAUUUUAUUAGGUAAUUUUAAUAGAAAUUGAUUUAUAGGACCUAAUUGUGAAAAAGUUUGAAAUUAAAGGCUAGUGCUAAAAUUCUGAUUUCCAAAGUUUAUAAGGUAGUUUAAAUUGAUGGAAUAAUGUGUUAAUUGAGAAAAAUCAGCUCAAUUGAGAGGUUAAUUGAGCAAGGAUGAAAUUAUCAUUUAUUGGAAGUUUAGGGAAAAAUGGUAAUUAACCUCAUGAACUAAAACAGUUUGGACAGCUGCAGUAGGUUAACUUUGAAAAAUCAUCAUAAAUUGUGUAAAUUGAAUUAGAGGAUGAAUAAAAUAUAGAAUUAAAGCUUAUUGAGUCUAGUUUCUCAUAGAAGAAACGUUUUAACCAAUGGAAUUCUAAAUCAUGAGAUAUAAUAGAUUUUGUGAGACAAGGUCAGAAUGAAUUCGGGUUCCCCUGUUAUGACUUUGGAAAAUCAUUAAAAAUUGUACAAAAAUGAUUAUGAGUUAUAAUUUAUAUGGCUAGAAGCCUUAAUGAGUAUAUUUUCAGGAGAAACAAACGAAAACAUCAUCCUAAUUCUGUAAAAUGAGAUAAAUAAUUUUUAGUGAAGAGGGGUCAGAACUGUCAUACAGUGAAACAGGGGAAACUUUAAAGAAUAAACUGUACUUAUUGGAUAAACAAAAAAUUCUGAAAUUUUUAUGGUAAGAAGAUAUGUGAGUCUAGUUUCAGGGAAAAUUAACGGAUCUUAAUUUUAAGUUCUGUAGCUCAAGAUAUAAAUAAUUUAGUGACUGUGACUCAGUGAGACAGCUUUGAAUGCA